rnacentral:lncRNA from 1 species
UUUUUUUUUUGGUUUUUUCUUAAGGUUUAUUAAACACACAAGAAAGAAGCAUAAAAGGAAAUAAACUAGCAUGGAUGAUGCAAUGAAAAAGUAUGAGCACCGACAUCUAGCAAUGAGUAUGUGUGAACAUAAAUGUAAUGUCGGUGAGAAAUACGUACUCCCCCAAGCUUAGGCUUUUGGCCUAAGUUGGUUUAUGGCCACGGCUGGCCUGGCUGAUAUCCAUAAUAAUAGUUGGGGUCGUACUGCGAUGAGGAAGAAGAAGGCUCCGAUUGCCACUGGCUGGCAAUCAUCUCCGGAUCCCACUGAUAGUUAGACUGUCGUGAAUGAUCAAAUUAUGGUUCUGGUUCUGGCUCCUCGGCUGGUGCAGGGUUCCGGUAGGCGUGGAUAGCCGUCAACGGAACAAGGUACGUGCCUACAGUCAAAUCAAACAAAGAAGGAGCAGGCAAGGUAAUAGUCUCAGAAUGAUGUUUAUUAAAGAACAAUUGAUAUUUAAGCUCUCCUGCCCUAUUCUUAACAAUAAGAUCAUGUGCCACCAUACUUUUAUAAUCUAAAUAAACACGAGGCAACACUUUUUCUUCCUUCUCAGCAUGCCGAAUAGGUAUGUUAAAAUGUGCAGCUAGGCGUGUAGCAUAGAUGCCUCCAAAGAUGGGACCCUUAGUACGGUUCAUACUUAACCGUCUAGCAAUAAUGCCGCCCAUACUAAAAGUGUUAUCACUGUAUAAACCUUGGAGCAAAAUAAUAAUAUCAGGGAUACUAAGGUUUCCACAGUUUCCGCGACUAAUUAAGAAACGACUAGCAAAUAAUGCAAAGUAGCGUAAGACAGGAAAAUGUAUGCUAGUGAUUCGUGCAUCGGAAACCUUCCUAGUUUCCCCUACAGUGAUAGUAUUAAUAUAUCCCUCCACAUCAUCACGAUGUGGUUCUUUUGUCUUGCCCUCAAAAGGGAAUAAACAAAUCCGACAAAAAUCAUAAAGUGACAUCUCCUUAUGCUCAUCAUAGAAAUGAAACUCCACCGUAGGUGGUGAGUUCCUAGAAUGAAAAUGAAAGUUUUGCACAAAGGUAUUUGUGAGUAAGAGAUACUGAUCGCAUUGGUCGUGGAGGAAAGCGGUGAGGCCUGCAUUAUGAGCCAACUCAUGAAAAUAUUCAUAAAUCCCGGUUGCUCUUAAGAAAUCCUCGGAAGGCCAUUCACACGCCCGAACCUCCGCGGUGCGCGGCAAAUUAUACUUAGGCUUUGGUGCCUUUUCCUUCGAGCUUUGGCUCGAUGAGCCCCUCAAUAAUCUCCUCAUCAUUUUCUGAAAAAUUCUGAAAUUUUUAGUAACGUCAAAAUAAAAGUAAACCAAACUCAAUAAUAUUGAUAGCAACUACUCCUACAAGUGCCUAGGGUCUAUAUCAUGCAUCAAAACUACUUUUGACCAUAUAAAUUUGACAUGCACGCUCAAGAACAGGGUCACCUAAGCAGAAAAAAUUUGCAAUGAAUAAAGCACUAGAACAAAAACUAAUUGGACCAAUGGAGGAGUCACAUACCAAGGAACAAUCUCCCCAAGCAGUUUUGCGAGAGGUGCUUUGAGCAAGGAGAUCGAAAAUGGCAGCAAAACGAGCUUGGACUCGGGUUUGAGCUGGUUUUUCGUGUUUGUGGGAGGAAGAAGAAGAGGAUGGGUGCAGGAAUAAGUGGAGGAGGGUCACCGUGGGCCCACGAGGCAGGGGGCGCGCCCUCCACCCUCGUGGCAAGGUGGUUGGCCCCCCUGGUGUGUUCUUUGUUCCAUAAAUCCUCAAAUAUUCUAUAAAAAAAUCAUAUUUAAUUUUCAGGGCAUUUGGAGAACUUUUUAUUUUCGAGAAAUUUUUAUAUUGCAUGGAUAAUCAGAUAACAGACAGAAAAAUAUUUAUGUUUAUUUUAUUUAAUAUAAAUAACAGAAAGAAUAGAGAGGGUACAGAAGGUUGUGCUUCUAGUUUCAUCCAUCUCAUGCUCGUCAAAAGGAAUCCACUAACAAGGUUGAUCAAGUCUUGUUAACAAACUCAUUCCGAUUAACAUGAAACCGGAGAAAUUUCGAAUAACACUAGGUUACCUCAACGGGGAUAUGCACAUCCCCAAUAAUAAGUAUAUCAUAUUUCUUCUUGACAGUAGGAAGAGGAAAUUCAAAACCUCCAAAUAUAAUCGAUGGAGUUUUUUCGAUAGAAUUGAUACUAUGAACUUGAGGUUGUUUCCUCGGAAAGUGUACCGUAUGCUCAUUACCAUUAGCAUGAAAAGUAACAUUGCCUUUGUUGCAAUCAAUAACAGCCCCUGCAGUAUUAAGAAAAGGUCUUCCAAGAAUAAUAGACAUACUAUUGUCCUCGGGAAUAUCAAGAAUAACAAAGUCCGUUAAAAUAGUAACGUUUGCAACCACAACAGGCACAUCCUCACAAAUACCGACAGGUAUAGUAGUUGAUUUAUCAGCCAUUUGCAAAGAUAUUUCAGUAGGUAUCAACUUAUUUAAGUCAAGUCUAUGAUAUAAAGAGAGAGGCAUAACACUAACACCGGCUCCAAGAUCACAUAAAGCAGUUUUAACAUAGUUUCUUUUAAUGGAGCAUGGUAUAGUAGGUACUCCUGGAUCUCCAAGUUUCUUUGGUAUUCCACCCUUAAAAGUAUAACUAGCAAGCAUGGUGGAAAUUUCAGCUUUUGGUAUCUUUCUUUUAUUUGUAACAAUAUCUUUCAUGUACUUAGAAUAAGGAUUCAUUUUGAGCAUAUCAGUCAAUCGCAUACGCAAAAAGAUAGGUCUAAUCAUUUCAGCAAAGCGCUCAAAAUCCUCAUCAUCCUUUUUCUUGGAUGGUUUGGGAGGAAAAGGCAUGGGUUUCUGAACCCAAGGCUCUCUUUCUUUACCAUGUUUCCUAGCAACAAAGUAUUUCUUAUCAUAACGUUGAUUCUUCGAUUGUGGGUUAUCAAGAUCAACAGCAGAUUCAAUUUCUACAUCAUUAUCAUUACUAGGUUGAGCAUCAUUAUGAACAUCAUCAUUAACAUUUUCAUUAGGUUCAUGUUCAUUGCCAGAUUGUGUUUCAGCAUCAGACAUAGAGAUAUCAUUUGGAUUAUCAGGUGGUUCAGCAAUAGGUUCACUAGAAGUUUGCACAAUUCUAUCAUUUUUCUUUUUCUCUUUUUAGAAGAACUAGGUGCAUCAAUAUUAUUUCUCUGAGAAUCUUGCUCAAUUCUCUUAGGGUGGCCUUCGGGAUACAAAGGUUCCUGAGUCAUUCUACCAGUUCUAGUAGCCACUUUAACAACAUAAUCAUUUUUCUUACUAUUCAUCUCAUUGAGCAAUUCUUUUUGAGCUUUAAGUACUUGUUCUACUUGAGUGGUAACCAUAGAAGCAUGUUCGCUAACAAGUUUAAGUUCACCUCUAAUAUUAGCCAUAUAAUCACCCAAGUAUUUAAUCAUAUUAGCAUCUUGUUUUAAUUGUCUACCAAAAUAAGCAUUGAAGUCUUCUUUCUUAAACAUAAAAUUAUCAAACUCAUCGAAGCAUUGACUAGCAAUUUUAGCAGGAGGGAUUUCAGCUUUAUCAUAUCUAUAGAGAGAAUUUACCUUUACUACCUGUGUUGGGUUAUCGAGGUCUGGAGGUUCUUCAAUAAAUAAAGGAUUAAGAUCGUAUGUUUCUUCAAUAGGCGGUAAAUUAAGACCAUGUAUUUCUUCAAUAGGAGGUAAAUUCUUAACAUCUUCAGCUUUAAUACCUUUUUAUUUCAUAGAUUUAUUUGCCUCUUGCAUAUCUUCGGGACUGAGAAAUAGAACACCUCUCUUCUUCGGAGUUGGUUUAGGAAUAGCAUCAUUAAUUGGAGCAGGAGUUGGCUCAGGAGCUGGCUUAGGAGGUGCCCAAUUAUUUUCAUUUGUCAACAUAUUAUUUAGUAAGAUUUCAGCUUCAUCCGGUGUUCUUUCCCUGAAAAGAGAACCAGCACAACUAUCCAGGUAAUCUCUGGAAGCAUCGGUUAGUCCAUUAUAAAAGAUAUCAAGUAUUUCAUUUUUCUUAAGAGGAUGAUCAGGCAAAGCAUUAAGUAACUUGCGAAGCCUCCCCCAAGCUUGUGGGAGACUCUCUUCUUUAAUUUGCACAAAGUUGUAUAUUUCCUUUAAAGCAGCUUGUUUAUUAUGAGCAGGGAAAUAUUUAGCAGAGAAGUAAUAAAUCAUAUCCUGGGGACUACGCACACAACCAGGAUCAAGAGAAUUAAACCAUAUCUUAGCAUCACCCUUUAAUGAGAACGGAAAUAUUUUAAGGAUAUAAAAGUAGAGAGAUCUCUCAUCAUUCGUGAACAGGGUGGCUAUAUCAUUUAAUUUAGUAGGAUGUGCCACAACAGUUUCAGAUUCAUAGCCAUGAAAAGGAUCAGAUUCAACCAAAGUAAUUAUAUCAGGAUCAACAGAGAAUUCAUAAUCCUUAUCAGUAACACAGAUAGGUGAAGUAGCAAAAGCAGGGUCAGAUAUCAUCCUAGCAUUUAGAGAUUGCUUAUUCCAUUUAGCUAAUAACCUUUUGAGUUCAUAUCUAUCUUUGCAAGCUAAUAUAGCUAAAGAAGCUUCUUGAUCAAAUAAAUAACCCUCGGGAAUAACAAGUGAUUCUUCAUCAUCACUUUCAUCAUCAUAAUCAGAUUCAAUAUUUUCAAUCUCUCUAGCCCUAGCAAGUCGUUCCUCAAGAAAAUCACUAAGUGGCAUAGUAGUAUCACGCAUAGAGGUAGUUUCAUCAUAAGUAUCAUGUAUAGCAGAAGUAGCAUCAUCAAUAACAUGCAACAUAUCAGAACGAAUAGCAGAAGCAGGUUUAGGUGUCGCAAGCUUACUCAUAACAGAAGGUGAAUCAAGUGCAGAGCUAGAUAGCAGUUCCUUACCUCCCCUCGUAGUUGAGGGAUAAAUUGUUGUCUUAGCGUCUUUCAAAUUCUUCAGAGUGUCCAGCAGAUAUAAAUCCAAAGUGACUCAAAGAAUAGAGCUAUGCUCCCCGGCAACGGCGCCAGAAAUUGGACUUGAUAACCCACAAGUAUAGGGGAUCGCAACAGCUUUCGAGGGUAGAGUAUUCAACCCAAAUUUAUUAAUUUGACACAAGGGGAGCCAAAGAAUAUUCUCAAGUAUUAGCAGCUGAGUUGUCAAUUCAACCACACCUGGAAACUUAGUAUCUGCAGCAAAGUGUUUAGUAGCAAAGUAAUAUGAUAGUGAUGGUAACGGUAACAAUAGAGUAAUGAAAGCAAAGUAAUAUUUUUGGUAUUAUGUAGUGAUUGUAACAAUAGCAACGGGAAAGUAAAUAAGCGUAAACCAGUAUAUGGAAAGCUCGUAGGCAUCGGAUCAAUGAUGGAUAAUUAUGCCGGAUGCGGUUCAUCAUGUAACAGUCAUAACAUAGGGUGACACAAAACUAGCUCCAAUUCGUCAAUGUAAUGUAGGCAUGUAUUCCGAAUAUAGUCAUACGUGCUUAUGGAAAAGAACUUGCAUGACAUCUUUUGUCCUACCCUCCCGUGGCAACGGGGUCCUAAUGGAAACUAAGGGAUAUUAAGGCCUCCUUUUAAUAGAGAACCGGAACAAAGCAUUAGCACAUAGUGAAUACAUGAACUCCUCAAACUACGGUCAUCACCGGUAAGUAUCCCGAUUAUUGUCACUUCGGGGUUAACGGAUCAUAACACAUAAUAUGUGACUAUAGACUUGCAAGAUAGGAUCAAGAACUCUCAUAUAUUAAUGAAAACAUAAUAGGUUCAGAUCUGAAAUCAUGGCACUCGGGCCCUAGUGACAAGCAUUAAGCAUAGCAAAGUCAUAGCAACAUCAAUCUCAGAACAUAGUGGAUACUAGGGAUCAAACCCUAACAAAACUAACUCGAUUACAUGAUAAAUCUCAUGCAACCCAUCACCGUCCAGCAAGCCUACGAUGGAAUUACUCACGCACGGCGGUGAGCAUCAUGAAAUUGGUGAUGGAGGAUGGUUGAUGAUGACGACGACGACGAAUCCCCCACUCUGGAGCCCCGAACGGACUCGAGAUCAGCCCUCCCGAGAGGUUUUAGGGCUUGGCGGCGGCUCCGUAUCGUAAAACACAAUGAUUUCUUCUCUCCUAUUUUUCUCCCCGAAAGCAGAUAUAUAGAGUUGGAGUUGGAGUCGGGGGGUCUCCAGGGGGCCCACGAGGUAGGGGGGCGCGCCCCCACCCUCGUGGCAAGGGUGUGGGCCCCCUGUUCUUCAUCUUUGGCAAGGAUUUUUUAUUAUUUAUUGUAAGAUAUUCUGUGGAGUUUCAGGUCAUUCUGAGAACUUUUGUUUUCUGCACAUAAAAACAACAUCAUGGCAAUUCUCCUGAAAACAGCGUCAGUCUGGGUUAGUUCCAUUCAAAUCAUACAAGUUAGAGUCCAAAACAAGGGGAAAAGUGUUUGGAAAAGUAGAUACGAUGGAGACGUAUCAGGCCACGAGGACCAUGAGCUUCUGGUGACGAAUAGACGAAAGAGAGAGAGAGAGCACGAGGGGAUAAGUGAGGAUUAGGGUUUGUCUAUGGGGUCGGGGGUCUCGUUAUCCAUCUCGGGAAGGUAGUGGAUGCUUGACACGGCGACGAUCGGUGGCGUGGACGGCGUGCACGCACUGCCACCGCCAUGGAUNNNNNNNNNNNNNNNNNNNNNNNNNNNNNNNNNNNNNNNNNNNNNNNNNNNNNNNNNNNNNNNNNNNNNNNNNNNNNNNNNNNNNNNNNNNNNNNNNNNNNNNNNNNNNNNNNNNNNNNNNNNNNNNNNNNNNNNNNNNNNNNNNNNNNNNNNNNNNNNNNNNNNNNNNNNNNNNNNNNNNNNNNNNNNNNNNNNNNNNNNNNNNNNNNNNNNNNNNNNNNNNNNNNNNNNNNNNNNNNNNNNNNNNNNNNNNNNNNNNNNNNNNNNNNNNNNNNNNNUGUCGGUCUAAGGCCCAGGGAAAGCGGGUGAGGGGGGUUCCCUUUCCUUUUUAUUCUGUGUUUCAUCUUUAUUUAUUUCUGUUUUACUUUUAGCUACUGUUUUGCUAUUUCUAUUGAAGGCAAAAGAUUUUUGGUCCAACAAGGUACUUGGCACAUAAAUAGUAUGCAAUGUUAUGAGCUAGCACAGGAAGCUUCAAGUUAUUUUGAAACAUGCAAAUAUUUAUUUAAAUUUAAAAGGAUCAAUUAAAAGUUGUUGGUCCAAUUUUAAUUAGAUUAAGGGCAUCUUAAUUAUUCAUAAAAUGUUGAUUUCUUUCAAGAAAAUUGUUAGUGGAUUUUUGCAACCCAUCGGUCAUUUUUGUUUUACUAUUUGAAGAAAUAAAAUUUUGACUUUCUUUUCCAUUCGAAUUCGUUUUUGGAUCAAAGUGAAGUUUAGGAAUUUAAUUGCAAUGACAUGGCAUCAUUGGUGUGUGGUUACUAUAGCUUAACUACCGGGGUGUUACAUUCUCCCAUUGCAAGAAAGAUCAAUCUAGUAGGCCAAACCAAACUGAUAAUUCGAAGAGACUUGCAAAGAUAACCAAUCAUACAUAAAAGAAUUCAGAGAAGAUUCAAAUAUUGUUCAUAGAUAGACCUGAUCGUAAACCCACAAUUCAUCGGUCUCAACAAACACACCGCAAAAAGAAGAUUAUAUCGAAUAGUUCUCCACAAGAGAGGGGGAGAACAUUGUAUUGAGAUCCAAAAAGAGAGAAGAAGUCAUCUAGCUACUAACUAUGGACCCGUAGGUCUGAGGUGAACUACUCACACUUAAUCGAAGGGGCUAUGGUGUUGAUGUAGAAGCCCUCCAUGAUCGAUGCCCCCUCCGGCGGAGCUUCGGAACAGGCCCCAAGAUGGGAUCUCGUGGAUACAAAAAGUUACGGCAUUGGAAUUAGGGUUUUGGCUCCUAUUCUGAUCGUUUGGGGGUACGUGGAUAUAUAUAGGAGGAAGGAGUACGUCGAUGGAGCAACAGGGGGCCCACGAGGGUGGAGGGCGCGCCUGGCGGGGUAGGCGCGCCCCCUACCUCAUGGCCUCCUAUUUUCUUUCUUGACGUAGGGUCCAAGUCUCUCGGGUCUUGUUCGUUGAGAAAAUCACGUUCUCGAAGGUUUCAUUCCAUUUGGACUCCAUUUGAUAUUCCUUUUCUUCGAAACCCUAAAACAAGCAAAAAACAGCAAUUCUGGGCCGGGCCUCCGGUUAAUAGGUUAGUCCCAAAAAUAAUAUAAAAGUGGAUAAUAAAGCCCAAUAAUGUCCAAAACAGUAGAUAAUAUAGCAUGGAGAAAUCAAAAAUUAUAGAUACGUUGGAGACGUAUCAAGCAUCCCCAAGCUUAAUUCCUGCUUGUCCUCGAGUAGGUAAAUGAUAAAAACAGAAUUUUUUAUGCGGAGUGCUACUUGGCAUAAUUUUAAUGUAAUUUUUAUUAAUUGUGGUAUGAAUAUUCAGAUCCUAAAGAUUCAAGACAAAAGUUUAUAUUGACAUAAAAAUGAUAAUACUUCAAGCAUACUAACUAAGCAAUUAUGUCUUCUGAAAAUAACAUGGCCAAAGAAAGUUCAUCCCUACAAAAUCAUAUGGUUUAGUCAUGUUUCAUUUUCGUCACACAAGAAUGCUAUAAUCAUGCACAACCCCGAUGACAAGCCAAGCAAUUGUUUCAUACUUUAGCAAUCUCAAACCUAUAAACUUUCACGCAAUAUAUGAGCGCGAGCCAUGGACAUAGCACUAUAGGUGGAAUAGAAUAUAAUGAGGGGGGUUAUGUGGAGAAGACAAAAAAGGAGAAAGUCUCACAUCAACGAGGCUAAUCAAUGGGCUAUGGAGAUGCCCACCGAUUGAUGUUAAUGCAAGUAGUAGGGAUUGCCAUGCAACGGAUGCACUAAAGCUAUAAAUGUAUGAAAGCUCAACAAAAGAAACUAGUGGGUGUGCAUCCAACUUGCUUGCUCACGAAGACCUAGGGCACUUGAUGAGGCCCAUUGUUGGAAUAUACAAGCCAAGUUCUAUAAUGAAAAAUUUCCACUAGUAUAUGAAAGUUACAAAAUAAGAGACUCUCUAUCAUGAAGAUUAAGGUGCUACUUUGAAGCACAGGUGUGGCAAAGGAUAGUAACAUUGUCCCUUCUCUCUUUUUCUCUCAUUUUUUUGGCCUUCUCUUUUUUAUGACCUUUCUCUUUUUUUAUUCCUCACUUGGGACAAUGCUUUAGAAAAUGAUGAUCAUCACACCUCUAUUUAUUUACAACUCAAUGAUUACAACUCGAUACUAGAACAAAGAUGACUCUAUAUGAAUGCCUCCGGCGGUGUACCGAGAUAUGCAAUGAUCAAGAGUGACAUGUAUGAAAGAAUUAUGAAUGGUGGUGACGGUGUCCUGGACUAGGGGGUACUCACCACGUCGUCUCCCGAUCUAUUAGAUUGGGCCAAGGCCCCCAUGGCCGUAUACUCAUGGGCCAGUUCGGACAGCUGCCGCAUACAAGGAAGAUUCCACAAAGACUUGGCGAUCAAGACAAGGACUUCUCCCCACAGGCGUAUUCAGCUAGGACUCUUGUUAACCUAGGCCUCUGGUGCAUUAUAUAAACCAGGGCCAGGCUAGUCGAUAGAAUAUACAACAACAUAUACAACAACAUAUACAACAACAUACACAACAACAAUCAUACCAUAGGCUAGCUUCUAGGGUUUAGCCUCUCCGAUCUCGUGGUAGAUCAACUCUUGUAAUACCCAUAUCAUCAAGAAUAAAUCGAGCAGGACGUAGGGUUUUACCUCCAUCAAGAGGGCCCAAACCUGGGUAAAACUUCGUGUUCCCUGCCUCCUCUUACCAUCGAUCCUAAACGCACAGUUCGGGACCCCCUACCCGAUAUCCGCCGGUUUUGACACCGACAUUGGUGCUUUCAUUGAGGGUUCCGCUGUGUGAUCGACAAAAGGAUCAAUGGCUCGCCUGCAGAUCAACUGCGACUUCGGCAUCUUUGUCACCAGCUCGACUAGUCACCUUGGUUCGACCAAGAAUUGCGCCCCGUGUUCGGAUCACCAUGUUUGGACGAGGGCCUUCAUCGAACAUCAACUCCGAUCUCUAUUAAGAUCAUGGAGGAAUCAUCCAUGGAGCUCGGGGGCUCAACGUCAACAUGGCCCUCAAGCGACCGUGUUGUUUUCCUGGACAGCGAACUCAUAUCUACCACCACCACCUCCUCGAGUAUCGUUUUGACGAUCGCUUUGGUGGAAUUGUGCGGAAUUGAGUCUACAACAACCCUGGAAAAUUUCGUCGAGUUCCGAUGAAGGAAUCUCUGGCAAUCCACGAUAUACCGGAGCCCUGUCAAAUCUGGAUGGGAAUUUGGAUGAGUUUAGGGCGUGGUGUCCAGCUUCUAGCUCGGACGUCCUUUGGAAGAUCCAACUAUUGAUCGGCUGCGGAAUUCCUAUAUCUACCACCUCUCAAAAGUUCAGCUCGAUCCGACCGUCCAAACUCCGGGAACCUUCCGAUUAGUGCAUCACUUUUCGGAUCUGUUUUCUGCACGAAAACGAAUCCGACCCGAGUUCAUCUUUUUUAUGAACGGGAUUUCGGACAUCCCUUUUGAAGGAAGUUUUGUAUGGGGUAUUGUGUUUUGUUCCCGAACACAUCCCACUAACUUUAAGAUCUUUUGAACAUGAUCUUCAACAUCAUGCUGGUGUCAAACCAGUCUGGCAAUAUUACUCCACGGCUGCCAACCUGCGCUAGACACGUUAUCACUUUAGCCGAGCUCAACUUCUUCGGAUCAUCAUCUCGGCAAGCCGAACAAGAGUCCGGCAUCGCGAAGGAUAAAUCAUCAUCAACAUCGCCACCCCACGGAUUACACGGAGCGGGCAUACCGGCAUCGCUGCACGAUCGCUUCAUCAAGCCGGCAUCGACCACGUCACGACCUGCAUCGACAGGGCCGCACUAUUGCUUCUUCAAGCUGGUGUCCAUCACGCCGACCUACUUCGACUCAUCGGCUGACGUCAAGGCUUCAACAUCUCGGCUGGACCGGGGGCUUCGCCAUCUCUUCAUCAACCUACUCCGGACGCUUCAGCGUCACUAUCCGACCGGCUCCGUCACGUUAGCUGGGCCGAGGGCUUUUCCUCGGUGAGUCAACCUUUACCAGCAUUGCCAUGCUGUCGUUUUAUCGCCCAUCAGUCAAUGGGUGUGCGGAGCGAGUCCCAGUUUUGGGAAUCAUCUUCCUUCGGAUUGCUACAACAAAUAAACCAGGUGCUAUUAAUCCUAGUAUUUUUUGCUUGUUUGGGUUCAUUUUUUCCAAGGAAUUAUUACUCUAGUUUGUCCAUGAUAUGUACACAGGUCUAUCAAAUGGUGACCGCAUUAACGACGGUCGCGUGGUGGUUCGAUCAGUUUCCGUACAUAGUCCGGCGAACACCGCAUCCGGAGCUCGGACCGACCUGUGAAUUCAGGCUUUGCCACGCCUUUACUACAUCACGCCGACGCCCUGCAUUGACAUUGACUUCGGCGCCAGGCCAUAUUUCUUCUAUUCCUCACUUUGCAUAAAUUAUUUAUUAUGCAACAUUUUUUUUAAUUAUCAUUAUUACUAUUAUCUCCGGUUUGCACUAUUUUUUGUGCACAGGAAAAUGAUCCGGGGACUUCGGCGUCACUCUGCCGGUCUGCAUUGACCAUGCUAUGUCACCUCUUCGGCGUGUCUAGCUCUCUGCUCCGCCACCUCAGGACCAGCUUGGGGGAUGGAACCUUGUCCCGCAUCAAGCUCAGACCGCGUCAUCAAUACCGAACAUAUUAACCAGCUAAGUCGCUUUCAUGCUCAAAGCUUUAAUUUCUAACUUGUGCUCGGUUCGACCAAACAUUAUACUUUUUUGGAAAAAAGUUGCUUGUAAAAAAUUUCCUUGUCCAAACUUUGUUUGUGACGCAUAAAUUCAAAUACCCCGUUUACUUGGGGGCUUCCUUUAUGAAGCUUUUCCUGUUGCAUAUGAUUAUACUUGUACGGCUUCGUUCCUUGUUCGUGUAUUACGCCACAAUAUGCACCAUAUUGACUUAAGCGAUUUGCAAGCUGGGUUGCCUCGCUCCUGUGUUUACCCCUACGUUCCCGAUUGUUCGGCUAGGGAGUAAAGGGAGCACCUCUGCGAUUGUCACGAUCGGGUCAACUGAGCCGGACCUCAGACUGGGUGAAGCCGAAAGCUAGCGCUCUUAUAGUUUUCAAUGCUGGUCGGCACACAACGGAACUCAUGAGUACAAAAAAUCUAUUGCACAAGUCUCAUAAUAACAAUGAGCACCAAAGAAAGGUAUCGGUGGGGGUACUAUUUUCUUCGAAGAUGCUUCUUACACUUUGCAGUAAUAUAGUAUAAGUUCCCUGAGCGCGCUUUGUCUGUUACAACCUUAUGGCCUGAUUGCCUGGUUAUUGAAAACACCGUCAAUAUUCUCGACAGAUGGAGUACAUAACACUUUUCGGUCCUUGACCGAAGAGGGACAAGCCGACGGUCAGUUAAGACGCGUUUAAAGUUCGGUUGAACAUAGAUAUGAUAUAAGUACUUUGGUACAUGGAAUCAUUCUUUUACUCAAGUCACUUGGGGGCUCUUAAGUUUAUUUGACCCGUUUUAUAAUAAGUGUUCUUCUUCUUAGUCGUUGCAAAGUUUUAUUAUUAUUAUUUAUCACUCCUUUUUUCGACGCGAGUGUGCGGUCACUAGUCGGGGAGCCUAAUUUCUCUCUCAAAGCCGCUAGAGUUUAGUUUGCUAAACUGGCCUAAUGAGAAGUACUCCGCCCUCGGGAUAGGAGGUUAAAGCCGUAGGCUGACCCGCUCGAAGUCUUGAGAUAGGAUGUAUCAUGUUAAAGCACGACGGAAGCACUUCUUUUUUCUAAGACCAAUUUUCGGAUUGGCACCGAACACUUGAUCUUGUUCGGACGUCAUGUUUUUACUAACGUUUCUUGGUUUUCCAAGCUUUUUGGCACUUUUAAACUAUUUGUGCUUUUCCAGCAUUAGUCUCUCAGUGCAACACCAGACACCUUUAGGGAUUCGGCAAAAACAUUCUAAGAUAUUGCUAUAUAUGCAUCGGUUUCGAAUUGUGUCUUCGGUCAAUAGUUGUGUUGCCCGGCUCCUGCACUUGCUUCCUACAUUCUGUUUUGUUCGGCUAGGCUUGCAAAGGGAGAACCACUGAGAUUGUGCUUCCAGCUCACAUGGUUAAGCACCUCAGUGGAGAAAGCCGAAAACUGACUGUCACAAUAAGCGUAAACUGGUCAGCGAUCCGAUGACUAUGUUAAAUGACGGGCCAUUCAUAACAUUGGCCGAAGUGUUUACGGCUUGACCCCGACUGUCGCCAAACACUACCGGGGGCUAUUAACUGGCCUCCCAAACUAAAUCCUCGAUAUUUUGCUCUUACAUUAGAUCUGAGGUCUAAUGAUCAUGCUUAGCAUGACAACCCAAAGAAAGGAACCGAUAGCGGGACUAUUUUCUUUGGAAGACAUUUCUUCUGUUAAACAGUAAUAUAACUCUCUGCGUACCUUUGUUUAUAAAACCGUAUGGCCAGAUUGCCUUGUUUGUUGUAAAUCUUUGCCCUCAUAAAGGUUUUAUAAAGUAGGACAAACACUCCUCGGCUACUGGCCGAGGAGGUGGAAGCCGAUGGUCGGUUAACAAAGUUUUGUACAAUGCGGAUCUGAGCAUUAAUGACAUAAAGCACUUGGAUACAUAGAGUCAUUACACAUAAUCUGUGAUUUUACUAUGGAUAUUGAUCCUUAAUUCGGCCACCCGUGCCCGCAUUAAGGCUCAGGGGCUACUGGGCUUCGGGCUUAUUGUUUACAAAUAUUAAAGGGGCACAUCGAUCCCCUGAUCUGGUGUUGCCACCCGACUAGUGUCUCGGGGGCUACUGCAUUGCCUGUUGAAUGCAGAAGAUUUUAAGUGCAAUACAGUUACCGAGGAGAUUUUGAUCCUCAGGUUGGUCGGCCACACCCAACCUGAGUCUCGAGGACUGAGCGCGCCGCUUUUAGUGUCCCGAAGUAUUCUGCCGAGCUUGGACUUGAUCCUCAGGCCGAUUUUGCAAAUCAACCUGAGUCUCAGCGGCUACUAGGAUCAGCGGUCUUACGUCAUCCUUCAGGUGCAUCUCGGGUUUUAGACCGAUACACACCUUGAGGGCUACUGGCUAUAUAUCUCGGCAGAGAAUAAAUUGCACCAACAAAAUAUAUUCACAAAAAUCGGCCCACAUUCGGGGUGGUGCACCACCUCGGAAGCAGUCCGGCAUAAAGCUCGGGCACUAGUGGUUGGCUCCGUAGAGGGCAUUUCCGGCGUAAAGCUCGGCUAAACUCCUUCACACUUUUUUGAACCAAGGUGAUAUGACACCUCGGAUAUAGUCCGGCGUUGGAGCUCGGAUACAUUCCGGCGUUAGAGCUGGGAAGCGGUCCGGCAUUGGUGCUCGGCUGCAAAAGAUACCUCGAAUACAGUCCAGUGUUAGAGCUCGGACGCAAGAGGACACUGCCUCCUGGGGACAACUUCAAACCCGAGGUGUGGCAUAAAAAUAAUAAGGCAUUGAUAAAGGCCGGAAACUUAAAGGGGCUCCUCGGAUACCCGGCGUAUAAACUCGUCGAAUGCAUUUCGGGAUCCUCAAGAUCGAAGAUGAGAAGAUUUGUUGAACCAGUUUUCAAGAGCGACGACCGAAGAUGAAGAACAGUUCGGAAGAAUCAAGGAGCGUCCCUAACUUGAAGACCGGUUCAGGGGGCUACUGACGGUGUCUUGGACUAGGGGGUACUCACCACGUCGUCUCCCGAUCUAUUAGAUUGGGCCGAGGCCCCCAUGGCCGUAUACUCAUGGGCCAGUUCGGACAGCUGCCGCAUACAAGGAAGAUUCCACAAAGACUUGGCGAUCAAGACAAGGAAUUCUCCCCACCGGCGUAUUCGGCUAGGACUCUUGUUAACCUAGGCCUCUAGUGCAUUAUAUAAACCAGGGCCAGGCUAGUCGAUAGAAUAUACAACAACAUAUACAACAACAUAUACAACAACAUACACAACAACAAUCAUACCAUAGGCUAGCUUCUAGGGUUUAGCCUCUCCGAUCUCGUGGUAGAUCAACUCUUGUAAUACCCAUAUCAUCAAGAAUAAAUCGAGCAGGACGUAGGGUUUUACCUCCAUCAAGAGGGCCCAAACCUGGGUAAAACUUCGUGUUCCCUGCCUCCUGUUACCAUCGAUCCUAGACGCACAGUUCGGGACCCCCUACCCGAGAUCCGCCGGUUUUGACACCGAUAGGUGGCUUUGCCACAAAUACUAUGUCAACUACAUGAUCAUGCUAAGCAAUAUGACAAUAGUGAAUGUGUCAUGAUGAGCGGAAUGAUGGAAAGUUGCAUGGCAAUAUAUCUCAGAAUGGCUAUGGAAAUGCCAUAGUAGGUAGGUAUGGUGGCUGUUUUGAGGAGGAUAUAAGGAGGUUUAUGUGUGAAAGAGAGUAUCAUAUAACGGGGUUUGGAUGCACCGGCGAAGUUUGCGCCAACUCUCAAUGUGAGAAAGGGCAAUGCACGUUACCGAAGAGGCUAGCAAGGAUGGAAGGGUGAGAGUGCGUAUAAUCCAUGGACUCAACAUUAGUCAUAAAGAACUCACAUACUUAUUGCAAAAAUCUACAAGUCAUCAAAAACCUCGGUACUACGCGCAUGCUCCUAGGGGGAUAGAUUGGUAGGAAAAGACCAUCGCCCGUCCCCGACCGCCACUCAUAAGGAAGACAAUCAAAUAACACCUCUUGUUUCAAAUUUGUUGCAUAACGUUUACCAUAUGUGCAUGCUACGAGACUUGAAAACUUCAACACAAGUAUUUCUCAAUUUCACAACUACUCAACUAGCACGACUUUGAUAUUAUUACCUCCAUGUCUCAAAACAAUCAUCAAGCAUCAAACUUCUCUUAGUAUUCAAAACACUCAUAAGAAAAUUUUACUAACUUUGAAUACCUAGCAUAUUAGGAUUUUAAGCAAAUUACCAUGCUAUUAAGACUCUCAAAAUAAUCUAAGUGAAGCAUGAGAGAUCAAUAGUUUUUAUAAAACAAAUCCACCACCAUGCUCUAAAAGAUAUGAGUGAAGUACUAGAGCAAAAUUAUAUAACUCAAAAGAUAUAAGCGAAGCACAUAGAGUAUUCUAACAAAUUCCAAAUCAUGUAUGGCUCUCUCAAAAGGUGUGUAUAGCAAGGAUGAUUGUGGUAAACUAACAAUCAAAGACUCAAAUCAGACAAGACGCUCCAAGCAAAACACAUAGCAUGUGGCGAAUAAAAAUAUAGCUCCAAGUAAAGUUACCGAUAGAAGUAGACGAAAGAGGGGAUGCCUUCCAGGGCAUCCCCAAGCUUUGGCUUUUAGGUGUCCUUAGAUUAUCUUGGGGGUGCCAUGGGCAUCCCCAAGCUUAGGAUCUUGCCACUCCUUGUUCCAUAAUCCAUCAAAUCUUUACCCAAAACUUGAAAACUUCACAACACAAAACUUAAAGUAGAAAAUCUCGUGAGCUCCGUUAGCGAAAUAAAAUAAAAGACCACUUCAAGGUACUGUAAUGAACUCAUUCUUUAUUUAUAUUGGUGUUAUACCUACUGUAUUCCAACUUCUCUAUGGUUUAUAAACUAUUUUACAAGCCAUAGAUUCAUCAAAAUAAGCAAACAUCACACGAAAAACAGAAUCUUUAAAAAACAGAACAAUCUGUAGUAAUAUGUAGCUAGCGCAAGAUCUGGAACCCCAAAAGUUCUAAAAUAAAUUGCUAGACGUGAGGAAUUUAUCUAUUAAUCAUCUUCAAAAAUAAUUAACUAAAUAUCACUCUCCAAAUAAAAAUGGCAGUAGUUAUCGUGAGCGCUAAAGUUUCUAUUUUUUACAGCAAGUUCAACAAGACUUUCCCCAAGUCUUCCCAACGGUUCUACUUGGCACAAACACUAAUUAAACACAAAAAAACAACCAAAACAGAGGCUAGAUAAAUUAUUUAUUACUAAACAGGAGCAAAAAGCAAGGAAUAAAAAUAAAAUUGGGUUGCCUCCCAACAAGCGCUAUCGUUUAACGCCCCUAGCUAGGCAUAACAAUCAAGAAUAGAUCUAGGUAUUGCCAUCUUUGGUAAGCAAUCCAUAAGUGGCUCUCAUAAUAGAUUCAUAAGGUAAUUUAAUUUUCUUUCUAGGAAAGUGUUCCAUGCCUUUCCUUAAUGGAAAUUGGAAUAUAAUAUUUCCUUCCUUCAUAUCAAUAAUUGCACCAAUCGUUCUAAGGAAAGGUCUACCAAGAAUAAUAGCACAUGAAGGAUUGCAAUCUAUGUCAAGAACAAUAAAAUCCACGGGCACAUAAUUCCUAUUUGCAACAAUAAUAACAUCAUUAAUUCUUCCCAUAGGUUUUCUAAUAGUGGAAUCCGCAAGGUCCAAGUUUAGAGAGCAAUCAUCAAAAUCACGGAAACCUAACAAAUCACACAAAGUCUUUGGAAUCGUGGAAACACUAGCACCCAAAUCACAUAAAGCAUAGCAUUCAUGAUCUUUAAUUUUAAUUUUAAUAGUUGAUUCCCACUCAUCAUAAAGUUUUCUAGGGACAGAAACUUCCAGUUCAAGUUUUUCUUCAUAAUAUUGCAUCAAGGCACCAAUGAUAUGUUUAGUAAACGCUUUAUUUUGACUAUAAGCGUGAGGAGAAUUUAGCACGGAUUGCAACAAGUAAAUACAAUCAAUGAAAGAGCAAUUUUCAUAUUUAAAUUCCUUGAAAUCCAUAAUAGUGGGUUUAGCAACAUCUUUAAUUUCUUCAAUCCCGCUUUUAUCAAAUUUAGCACCAAGAUCAACAAAUUCUGAAUUCUUGGAACGCCUUCUAGGUAAAGGUGGAUCAUAUUUAGUCCCAUCAUUAUCAAGAUUCAUAUUGCAAAACAAAGAUUUAAUAGGGGACACAUCAAUAACUUUUAGAUCUUCAUCUUUAUUUUCAUAGCAAUCCGGUUUAGCGGCCAUCUUAUUAACUAAGGUAGCUUGCCUAUCCGAAAUUUCAGCAGUUAACUUCUCAAGAUGAGCAAUUUGGGAUCUUAAACCAUCGAAUUCUUUAGACAUAUCAUCAAGCUCUUUAUUCAUAAAACUCAUAAAACUUUUCUGUUCUUUAAGCUCAUUUCUGAAGAAACUAUUAUGUUCAAAUUGCAAGACCAUAAAACUCCUGACAUUGCUUUCGAUAUCUUCUAGCCUUUUAAGGUGGAGAUAACCAAAUUUAGGAAGAGCCAUAAAGGCAAGCAAGCAAACUAACACACAAGCAAACAAAAAGCAAGCGGGCAAAAAGAGGCAAAUAGAGAGGGAGGAUAGAGAGAGAGAGGGCGAAUAAAACGGCAAGGGUGAAGUGGGUGAGAGGAAAACGAGAGGCAAAUGGCAAAUAAUGUAAUGCGGGAGAUAAGGAUAUGUGAUGGGUACUUGGUAUGUUGACUCUGCGUAGACCUCCCCGGCAACGGCGCCAGAAAUCCUUCUUGCUACCUCUUGAGCACUGCGUUGGUUUUCCCCGAAGAGGAAGGGAUGAUGCAGCAAAGUAGCGUAAGUAUUUCCCUCAGUUUUUGAGAACCAAGGUAUCAAUCCAGUAGGAGGCUACGCGCGAGUCCCUCGUGAAGGAAAUAUGCCCUAGAGGCAAUAAUAAAGUUAUUAUUUAUUUCCUUAUAUCAUGAUAAAUGUUUAUUAUUCAUGCUAGAAUUGUAUUAACCGGAAACAUAAUACAUGUGUGAAUACAUAGACAAACAGAGUGUCACUAGUAUGCCUCUACUUGACUAGCUCGUUAAUCAAAGAUGGUUAUGUUUCCUGACCAUGAACAAUGAGUUGUUAUUUGAUUAACGAGGUCACAUCAUUAGUUGAAUGAUCUGAUUGACAUGACCCAUUCCAUUAGCUUAGCACCUGAUUGUUUAGUAUGUUGCUAUUGCUUUCUUCAUGACUUAUACAUGUUCCUAUGACUAUGAGAUUAUGCAACUCCCGUUUACCGGAGGAACACUUUGGGUACUACCAAACGUCACAACGUAACUGGGUGAUUAUAAAGGAGUACUACAGGUGUCUCCAAUGGUCGAUGUUGGGUUGGCGUAUUUCGAGAUUAGGAUUUGUCACUCCGAUUGUCGGAGAGGUAUCUCUGGGCCCUCUCGGUAAUACACAUCACAUAAGCCUUGCAAGCAUUACAACUAAUAUGUUAGUAGUGAGAUGAUGUAUUACGGAACGAGUAAAGAGACUUGCCGGUAACGAGAUUGAACUAGGUAUUGGAUACCGACGAUCGAAUCUCGGGCAAGUAACAUACCGAUGACAAAGGGAACAACGUAUGUUGUUAUGCGGUCUGACCGAUAAAGAUCUUCGUAGAAUAUGUAGGAGCCAAUAUGGGCAUCCAGGUCCCGCUAUUGGUUAUUGACCGGAGACGUGUCUUGGUCAUGUCUACAUUGUUCUCGAACCCGUAGGGUCCGCACGCUUAAGGUUACGAUGACAGUUAUAUUAUGAGUUUACAUGUUUUGAUGUACCGAAGGAGUUCGGAGUCCCGGAUGAGAUCGGGGAUAUGACGAGGAGUCUCGAAAUGGUCGAGACGUAAAGAUUCAUAUAUUGGAUGAUAUGGUUAGGCCAAGGGGUCAAGCCCAUGAGGCUUUAGAUCGGCGCAAAAAGGAGUUUUGCAGAGGCCAGGGGGCCAAACGCCGGAGACCCUGGCGUCUGGCCCUGGGCCAGACGCCGAGGCCCAUGGCGUCUGGGCCAGACGCCAAGGAUUGUGGCGUUUGGUCCUGGAGUCCGAGUGGGACUCUUGCCUUUCGGGAAAAACCGACUUUGAGGAGGCUUUUGCUCCAAGUUUCGACCCCGGGGCUCAACAUAUAAAUAGAGGGGCAGGGCUAGCACCAAAGACACAACAAUUGAUCCCUUGGAUCUCUUAGCCGUGUGCGGUGCCCCCCUCCACCAUAGUCCACCUCGAUAAUAUCGUAGCGGUGCUUAGGCGAAGCCCUGCGACGGUAGAACAUUAAGAUCGUCACCACGCCGUCGUGCUGACGGAACUCUCCCUCGACACUCGGCUGGAUUGGAGUUCGAGGGACGUCAUCGAGCUGAACGUGUGCUAGAACUCGGAGGUGCCGUAGUUUCGGUGCUUGAUCGGUCGGGCCGUGAAGACGUACGACUACAUCAACCGCGUUGUGCUAACGCUUCCGCUUACGGUCUACAAGGGUAUGUAGACAACACUCUCCCCUCUCGUUGCUAUACAUCACCAUGAUCUUGCGUGUGCGUAGGAAAAUUUUUGAAAUUACUACGAAACCCAACAGUGGCAUCCGAGCCUAGGUUACUUAUGUUGAUGUUAUAUGCACGAGUAGAACACAAGUGAGUUGUGGACGAUACAAGUCAUACUGCCUACCAGCAUGACAUACUUUGGUUCAGCGGUAUUGUUGGACGAGACGACCCGGACCAACCUUACGCGUACGCUUACGCGAGACCGGUUCCCUCGACGUGCUUUGCACAGAGAUGGCUUGCGGGCGACUGUCUCUCCAACUUUAGUUGAACCAAGUAUGGCUACGCCCGGUCCUUGCGAAGGUUAAAACGGAGUCUAUUUGACAAACUAUCGUUGUGGUCUUGAUGCAUAGGUGAGAUUGGUUCUUACUUAAGCCCGUAGUAGCCACGUAAAACAUGCAACAACAAAGUAGAGGACGUCUAACUUGUUUUUGCAGGGCAUGUUGUGAUGUGAUAUGGUCAAAGCAUGAUGCUGAAUUUUAUUGUAUGAGAUGAUCAUGUUUUGUAACCGAGUUAUCGGCAACUGGCAGGAGCCAUAUGGUUGUCGCUUUAUUGUAUGCAAUGCAAUCGCGAUGUAAUGCUUUACUUUAUUACUAAACGGUAGUGAUAGUCGUGGAAGCAUAAGAUUGGCGAGACGACAACGAUGCUACGAUGGAGAUCAAGGUGUCGCGCCGGUGAUGAUGGUGAUCAUGAAGGUGCUUCGGAGAUGGAGAUCACAAAGCACAAGAUGAUGAUGACCAUAUCAUAUCACUUAUAUUGAUUGCAUGUGAUGUUUAUCUUUUUAUGCAUCUUAUCUUGCUUUGAUUGACGGUAGCAUUAUAAGAUGAUCUCUCACUAAAUUAUCAAGAAGUGUUCUCCCUGAGUAUGCACCAUUGCCAAAGUUCGUCGUGCCCAGACACCACGUGAUGAUCGGGUGUGAUAAGCUCUACGUCCAUCUACAAUGGGUGCAAGCCAGUUUUGCACACGCAGAAUACUCAGGUUAAACUUGACGAGCCUAGCAUAUGCAGAUAUGGCCUCGGAACACGAAGACCGAAAGGUCGAGCGUGAAUCAUAUAGUAGAUAUGAUCAACAUAACGAUGUUCACCAUUGAAAACUACUCCAUCUCACGUGAUGAUCGGUCAUGGUUUAGUUGAUUUGGAUCACGUAAUCACUUAGAGGAUUAGAGGGAUGUCUAUCUAAGUGGGAGUUCUUAAGUAAUAUGAUUAAUUGAACUUAAAUUUAUCAUGAACUUAGUCCUGGUAGUAUUUUGCAAAUUAUGUUGUAGAUCAAUAGCUCGCGUUGUUGCUUCCCUGUGUUUAUUUUGAUAUGUUCCUAGAGAAAAUCAUGUUGAAAGAUGUUAGUAGCAAUGAUGCGGAUUGGAUCCGUGAUCUGAGGUUUAUCCUCAUUGCUGCACAGAAGAAUUAUGUCCUUGAUGCACCGCUAGGUGACGGACCUAUUGCAGGAGCAGAUGCAGAUGUUAUGAACGUUUGGCUAGCUCAAUAUGAUGACUACUUGAUAGUUUAGUGCACCAUCCUUAAUGGCUUAGAAUCGGGACUUCAACGACGUUUUGAACGUCAUGGAGCAUAUGAGAUGUUCCAGGAGUUGAAGUUAAUAUUUCAAGCAAAUACCCGAGUUGAGAGAUAUGUAGUCUCCAACAAGUUCUAUAGCUAAAAGAUGGAGGAGAAUCGCUCAACUAGUGAGCAUGUGCCCAGAUUGUCUGAGUACAACAAUCGCUUGAAUCAAGUGGGAGUUAAUCUUCCAGAUGAGAUAGUGAUUGACAGAAUUCUCUAGUCGCCAUCACCAAGUUAGUAGAACUUCGUGAUGAACUAUGAUAUGCAAGGGAUAACGGAAACAAUUCCCAAGCUCUUCGUAAUGCGGAAAUUGACGAAGGUAGAAAUCGAGAAAAACAUCAAGUGUUGAUGGUAGACAAGACCACUAGUUUCAAGAAAAGGGCAGAGGGAAGAAGGGGAACUUCAAAUAGAAUGGCAAGCAAGUUGCUGCUCAAGUGAAGAAGCCCAAGUCUGGUCCUAAGCCUGAGACUAAGUGUUUCUACUGCAAAGGGACUGGUCACUGGAAGCGGAUCUACCCCAAGUGAUUGGCGGAUAAGAAGGAUGGCAAAGUGAACAUAAGUAUAUUUGAUAUACAUGUUAUUGAUGUGUACUUUACUAGUGUUUAUCGCAAACCCUCAGUAUUUGAUACUAGUUCAGUUGCUAAGAUUAGUAACUUGAAACAGGAGUUGCAGAAUAAACAGAGACUAGUUAAGGGUGAAGUGACGAUGUGUGUUGGAAGUGGUUCCAAGAUUGAUAUGAUCAUCGUCGCACACUCCCUAUACUUUCAGGAUUAGUGUUGAACCUAAAUAAGUGUUAUUUGGUGUUUGCGUUGAGCAUGAAUAUGAUUUGAUCAUGUUUAUUGUAAUACCGUUAUUCAUUUAAGUAAGAGAAUAAAUUGUUAUUCUGUUUACAUGAAUAGAACCUUAUAUGGUUACACACCCAAUGAAAAUAGUUUGUUGGAUCUCGAUCGUAGUGAUACACAUAAUCAUAAUAUUGAAACCAAAAGAUGCAAAGUUAAUAAUGAUAGUGCAACUUAUUUGUAGCACUGCCGUUUAGGUCAUAUUGGUGUAAAGCGCAUGAAGAAACUCCAUGCUGAUGGGAUUUUGGAAUCACUUGAUUAUGAAUCACUUGAUGCUUGCGAACCAUGCCUUUUGGGCAAGAUGACUAAAACGCCGUUCUCCGGAACAAUAAAGCAAGCAACAGAUUUGUUGGAGAUCAUACAUACUGAUGUAUGUGGUCCGGUGAAUAUUAAAGCUUGCAGCAGGUAUCAUUAUUUUCUGACCUUCACAGAUGAUUUGAGCAGAUAUGGGGAUAUCUACUUGAUGAAACAUUUGAACAGUUCAAAGAAUUUCAGAGUGAAGUGGAAAAUCAUCGUGACAAGAAAAUAAAGUUUCUACGAUCUGAUCGCGGAGACAAAUAUUUGAGUUACGAGUUUGGUCUUCAAUUAAAACAAUGUGGAAUAGUUUCAUAAACUCAUGCCACAUGGAACACCACAGCAUAAUGGUGUGUCCGAACGUCAUAACCGUACUUUAUUAGAUAUAUAGUGCAAUCUAUGAUGUCUCUUACCGAUCUACCACUAUCGUUUUGGGGUUAUGCAUUAAAGACAGCUGCAUUCACGUUUUAAAAUAGGGCACCAUCUAAAUCCGUUGAGACGACACCGUAUGAACUAUGGUUUAGCAGUAAACCUAAGCUGUUGUUUCUUAAAGUUUGGGGCUGCGAUGCUUAUGUGAAAAAGUUUCAUCCUAAUAAGCUCGAACCCAAAUCGGAGAAGUGCGUCUUCAUAGAAUACCCAAAGGAAAUUGUUGGGUACACCUUCUAUCACAGAUCCGAAGGCAAGACAUUCGUUGCUAAAAUGGAUCCUUUCCAGAGAAGGAGUUUCUCUCGAAAGAAGUGAGUGGGAGGAGAGUAAAACUUGAUGAGGUAAUUGUACCUUCUCCCUUAUUGGAAAGUAGUUCAUCACAGAAAUCAGUUCCAGUGAUUCCUACACCAAUUAGUGAGGAAGUUAAUGAUGAUGAUCAUCAAACUUCAGAUCAAGUUGCUACCAAACCUCGUAGGUCUUCCAAUGUAAGAUCCGCACCAGAGUGGUACGGUAAUCAUGUUCUGGAAGUCAUGUUACUAGACCAUGAUGAACCUACGAACUAUGAGGAAGCGAUGAUGAGCCCAGAUUCCACGAAAUGGCUUGAGGCCAUGAAAUCUGAGAUAUGAUCCAUGUAUGAGAACAAAGUGUAGACUUUGAUUGACUUGCCCGAUGAUCGGUGAGUCAUUAAGAAUAAAUGGAUCUUCAAGAGGAAGACGGACGUUGAUAGUAGUGUUACUAUCUACAAAGCUAGACUUGUCGAAAAAGGUUUUUGACAAAGUUCAAGGUGUUGAAUACGAUGAGAUUUUCUUACUUGUAUCGAUGCUUAAAAGUCUGUCCGAAUCAUGUUAGCAAUUGCCGCAUUUUAUGAUUAUGAAAUUUGGCAGAUGGAUGUCAAAACUGCAUUCCUGAAUGGAUUUCUGGAAGAAGAGUUGUAUAUGAUGCAACCGGAAGGUUUUGUCGAUCCAAAGGGAGCUAACAAAGUGUGCAAGCUCCAGCGAUCCAUUUAUGGACUGGUGCAAGAAUCUCGGAGUUGGAAUAUACGCUUUGAUAAGUUGAUCAAAGCAUAUAGUUUUUGUACAGACUUACGGUGAAGCCUGUAUUUACAAGAAAGUGAGUGGGAGCACUACAACAUUUCUAAUAAGUAUAUGUGAAUGACAUAUUGUUGAUCGGAAAUAAUGUAGAAUUAUUCUGCAAAGCAUGAAAGGAUACUUGAAUAAAAGUUUUUCAAAGAAAGACCUUGGUGAAGCUGCUUACACAUUGAGCAUCAAGAUCUAUAUAGAUAGAUGAAGACGCUUGAUAAGAUUUUUCAAUGAAUGCAUACCUUGAUAAAUUUUUGAAAUAGUUCAAAAUGGAACAGUCAAAGAAGGAGUUCUUGCCUGUGUUGCAAGGUGUGAAGUUGAGUAAGACUCAAAGCCCGACCACGGCAGAAAAUAGAAAGAGAAUGAAAGUCAUUCCCUAUGCCUCAGUCAUAGGUUCUAUAAAGUAUGCCAUGCUGUAUACCAGAUCUAUUGUAUGCCAUACCACUGAGUUUGGCAAGGGAGUACAAUAGUGAUCUAGGAGUAGAUCACUAGAGAGCGGUCAAAAUUGUCCUUAGUGGAAUAAGGAUAUGUUUCUCGAUUAUGGAAAAAGGUUCGUCGUAAAGGGUUACGCCGAUGCAAGUUUGACACUAAUCUAGAUGACUCUAAGUCUCGAUCUAGAUACAUAUUGAAAGUGGGAGCAAUUAGCUAGAGUAGCUCCAUGCAGAGCAUUGUUGACAUAAAAAUUUGCAAAAUACAUAAGGAUCUGAAUGUGGCAGACCCGUUGACUAAGAUUCUCUCACAAGCAAAACAUGAUCACACCUUAGUACUCCUUGGGUGUUAAUCACAUAGCGAUGUGAACUAGAUUACUGAAUCUAGUAAACCCUUUGGGUGUUGGUCACAUAGCGAUGUGAACUAUGGGUGUUAAUCACAUGGUGAUGUAAACUAUUGCUGUUAAAUCACAUGGCGAUGUGAACUAGAUUAUUGACUCUAGUGCAAGUGGGAGACUGAAGGAAAUAUGCCCUAGAGGCAAUAAUAAAGUUAUUAUUUAUUUCCUUAUAUCAUGAUAAAUGUUUAUUAUUCAUGCUAGAAUUGUAUUAACCGGAAACAUAAUACAUGUGUGAAUACAUAGACAAACAGAGUGUCACUAGUAUGCCUCUACUUGACUAGCUCGUUAAUCAAAGAUGGUUAUGUUUCCUGACCAUGAACAAUGAGUUGUUAUUUGAUUAACGAGGUCACAUCAUUAGUUGAAUGAUCUGAUUGACAUGACCCAUUCCAUUAGCUUAGCACCCGAUCGUUUAGUAUGUUGCUAUUGCUUUCUUCAUGACUUAUACAUGUUCCUAUGACUAUGAGAUUAUGCAACUCCCGUUUGCCGGAGGAACACUUUGGGUACUACCAAACGUCACAACGUAACUGGGUGAUUAUAAAGGAGUACUACAGGUGUCUCCAAUGGUCGAUGUUGGGUUGGCGUAUUUCGAGAUUAGGAUUUGUCACUCCGAUUGUCGGAGAGGUAUCUCUGGGCCCUCUCGGUAAUACACAUCACAUAAGCCUUGCAAGCAUUACAACUAAUAUGUUAGUUGUGAGAUGAUGUAUUACGGAACGAGUAAAGAGACUUGCCAGUAACGAGAUUGAACUAGGUAUUGGAUACCGACGAUCGAACCUCGGGCAAGUAACAUACCGAUGACAAAGGGAACAACGUAUGUUGUUAUGCGGUCUGACCGAUAAAGAUCUUCGUAGAAUAUGUAGGAGCCAAUAUGGGCAUCCAGGUCCCGCUAUUGGUUAUUGACCGGAGACGUGUCUCGGUCAUGUCUACAUUGUUCUCGAACCCGUAGGGUCCGCACGCUUAAGGUUACGAUGACAGUUAUAUUAUGAGUUUAUGCAUUUUGAUGUACCGAAGGUUGUUCGGAGUCCCGGAUGUGAUCACGGACAUGACGAGGAGUCUCGAAAUGGUCGAGACGUAAAGAUUGAUAUAUUGGAAGCCUAUAUUUGGAUAUCGAAAGUGUUCCGGGUGAAAUCGGGAUUUUACCGGAAUACCGAGAGGGUUACCGGAACCCCCCGGGAGCUAUUUGGGCCAUAGUGGGCCUUAGUGGAAAAGAGAAGGGGCUGCCCUAGAUGGGCUGCGCGCCACCCCCUAGUCCUAUUAGGACUAGGAGAGGUGGCCGGCCCCCUCCUCCUCUUUUCCCCUCCGAGGAAUCCUAGUUGGACUAGGAUUGGAGGGGGAAUCCUACUCCCAGAGGGAGUAGGACUCUCCUGCGCCUCCCCCCCUUGGCCGGCCAGCCUCCCCUCCUCUCCUCCUUUAUAUACGGAGGCAGGGGCACCUCUAAACACACAAGUUGACACAAGUUGAUCCACGUGAUCGAUUCCUUAGCCGUGUGCGGUGCCCCCUGCCACCAUAUUCCUCGAUAAUACUGUAGCGGAGUUUAGGCGAAGCCCUGCUGCUGUAGUUCAUCAAGAUCGUCACCACGCCGUCGUGCUGACGAAACUCUUCCCCGACACUUUGCUGGAUCGGAGUCCGGGGAUCGUCAUCGAGCUGAACGUGUGCUCGAACUCGGAGGUGCCGUAGUUUCGGUGCUUGAUCGGUUGGAUCGUGAAGACGUACGACUACUUCCUCUACGUCGUGUCAUCGCUUCCGCAGUCGGUCUGCGUUGGGUACGUAGACAACACUCUCCUCUCGUUGCUAUGCAUCACAUGAUCCUGUGUGCGCGUAGGAAAAUUUUUGAAAUUACUACGAAACCUAACAAGAACAUCCUAAAAUACCUGAAAAGGACUAAGGAUAUGUUUCUCGUAUAUGGAGGUGACAAAGAGCUCACCGUAAAAGGUUACGUUGAUGCAAGCUUUGACACUGAUCCGGACGAUUCUAAAUCGCAAACCGGAUACGUGUUUACAUUAAACGGUGGAGCUGUCAGUUGGUGCAGUUCUAAACAAAGCGUUGUAGCGGGAUCUACAUGUGAAGCGGAAUACAUAGCUGCUUCGGAAGCAGCAAAUGAAGGAGUCUGGAUGAAGGAGUUCAUAUCCGAUCUAGGUGUCAUACCUAGUGCAUCGGGUCCAAUGAAAAUCUUUUGUGACAAUACUGGUGCAAUUGCCUUGGCAAAGGAAUCCAGAUUUCACAAAAGGACCAAACACAUCAAGAGACGCUUCAACUCCAUCCGGGAUCUAGUCCAGGUGGGAGACAUAGAGAUUUGCAAGAUACAUACGGAUCUGAAUGUUGCAGAUCCGUUGACUAAGCCUCUUCCACGAGCAAAACAUGAUCAGCACCAAAGCUCCAUGGGUGUAAGAUUCAUUACAGUGUAAUCUAGAUUAUUGACUCUAGUGCAAGUGGGAGACUGAAGGAAAUAUGCCCUAGAGGCAAUAAUAAAGUUAUUAUUUAUUUCCUUAUAAUCAUGAUAAAUGUUUAUUAUUCAUGCUAGAAUUGUAUUUACCGGAAACAUAAUACAUGUGUGAAUACAUAGACAAACAGAGUGUCACUAGUAUGCCUCUACUUGACUAGCUCGUUAAUCAAAGACGGUUAAGUUUCCUAACCAUGAACAAUGAGUUGUUAUUUGAUUAACGAGGUCACAUCAUUAGUAGAAUGAUCUGAUUGACAUGACCCAUUCCAUUAGCUUAGCACCCGAUCGUUUAGUAUGUUGCUAUUGCUUUCUUCAUGACUUAUACAUGUUCCUAUGACUAUGAGAUUAUGCAACUCCCGUUUACCGGAGGAACACUUUGGGUACUACCAAACGUCACAACGUAACUGGGUGAUUAUAAAGGAGUACUACAGGUGUCUCCAAUGGUCGAUGUUGGGUUGGCGUAUUUCGAGAUUAGGAUUUGUCACUCCGAUUGUCGGAGAGGUAUCUCUGGGCCCUCUCGGUAAUACACAUCACAUAAGCCUUGCAAGCAUUACAACUAAUAUGUUAGUAGUGAGAUGAUGUAUUACGGAACGAGUAAAGAGACUUGCCGGUAACGAGAUUGAACUAGGUAUUGGAUACCGACGAUCGAAUCUCGGGCAAGUAACAUACCGAUGACAAAGGGAACAACGUAUGUUGUUAUGCGGUCUGACCGAUAAAGAUCUUCGUAGAAUAUGUAGGAGCCAAUAUGGGCAUCCAGGUCCCGCUAUUGGUUAUUGACCGGAGACGUGUCUUGGUCAUGUCUACAUUGUUCUCGAACCCGUAGGGUCCGCACGCUUAAGGUUACGAUGACAGUUAUAUUAUGAGUUUACAUGUUUUGAUGUACCGAAGGAGUUCGGAGUCCCGGAUGAGAUCGGGGAUAUGACGAGGAGUCUCGAAAUGGUCGAGACGUAAAGAUUCAUAUAUUGGAUGAUAUGGUUAGGCCAAGGGGUCAAGCCCAUGAGGCUUUAGAUCGGCGCAAAAAGGAGUUUUGUGGAGGCCAGGGGGCCAAACGCCGGAGACCCUCGUGUCUGGCCCUGGGCCAGACGCCGAGUCCCAUGGCGUCUGGGCCAGACGCCAAGGAUUGUGGCGUUUGGUCCUGGAGUCCGAGUGGGACUCUUGCCUUUCGGGAAAAACCGACUUUGAGGAGGCUUUUGCUCCAAGUUUCGACCCCGGGGCUCAACAUAUAAAUAGAGGGGCAGGGCUAGCACCAAAGACACAACAAUUGAUCCCUUGGAUCUCUUAGCCAUGUGCGGUGCCCCCCUCCACCAUAGUCCACCUCGAUAAUAUCGUAGCGGUGCUUAGGCGAAGCCCUACGACGGUAGAACAUCAAGAUCGUCACCACGCCGUCGUGCUGACGGAACUCUCCCUCGACACUCGGCUGGAUCGGAGUUCGAGGGACGUCAUCGAGCUGAACGUGUGCUAGAACUCGGAGGUGCCAUAGUUUCGGUGCUUGAUCGGUCGGGCCGUGAAGAUGUACGACUACAUCAACCGCGUUGUGCUAACGCUUCCGCUUACGGUCUACAAGGGUAUGUAGACAACACUCUCCCCUCUCGUUGCUAUACAUCACCAUGAUCUUGCGUGUGCGUAGGAAAUUUUUUGAAAUUACUACGAAACCCAACACCUCGUACCUGCACAAAACAAAUAAAUCCUCGCAACCAACGCAAAUAGGGGUUGUCAAUCCCUAUAAGGCCACUUACGAGAGUGAGAUCUGAUAGAUAUGAUAAAAUAAUAUUUUUGGUAUUUUUAUGAUAAAAGAUGCAAAGUAAAAUAAAGGCAAAGUAAAUAGAAAAGGAAAUAACUAAGUAGUAGGAGAUCAAUAUGAUAAAGAUAGACCCGGGGGCCAUAGGUUUCGCUAGUAGCUUCUCUCAAGAGCAUAAGUAUUCUACGGUGGGUGAACAAAUUACUGUUGAGCAAUUGACAGAAUUGAGUAUAGUUAUGAGAAUAUCUAGGUAUGAUCAUGUAUAUAGGCAUCACGUACGAGACAAGUAGACCGACUCCUGCCUGCAUCUACUACUAUUACUCCACUCAUCGACCGCUAUCCAGCAUGCAUCUAGACACUACAAGAAAAAUACACUUCCAUGAUGAUACGUGUUUGUCACAGUAGGUCGCAUUUUCUGUCAUGCAUGUACAUCCAUGACGAUUUUAUGACAGAAUCAAGAUAGUCAUACUUGUGCUGUCGUAGAAGUGUUCCAUCACAUUACCAAAAUUAUCAUCACGGAAGUGUCCACUUCCAUGACGAUAAAUCCCGCGUCACAGAAGUGCUUUCGUCAAGGGUGACCGACACGUCGCAUCCACCAUAACGGAACGCCGUUAAGCUAUCGAGUCGGGUUUUGGAUCCAAUAACCCGUUAACAGCCCCGACCAAUGGGGAUUUCCACGUGUAAAAUCAUCAUUGGCUGGAGGAAACACGUCCCGGCUCAUCGUUGGGGCAGAUGCCAUCCACUCAUUGAACAGAAGGCGCCUAUGAUAUGUUGACACGUGGCACGGCCCAACAGAGGCCCAUUCCUGUGAAAAUGCCGGCCCGUUUGACUUGGUCAAAAGGUGGCGGGUCGGCCCAUGUAAAGCUGUUAACGGCAUGUUCGCAUAUAGCCCAUUUACAGCCCGCUAACCCAAGGCCCGUUACGCCCUAUCCGAAUUAGGCCCAGUAGAGUCAUCUGGGCCACCCAAUAUGAUUCCAGUCCGCUUUCACUUCUGGCACAUGUAUGGCCCAUGACGUCUUUCGGCCCAUAUGAGGCCCUAUGUAACUCUUGGCCUAUUAACGGCCUGUGGUAAAACUGGCCCGUAAUGAAUAGUGUAUCACUUUACACCCAUUAACGGCCCGUGGUGAAACUGGCCCGUAAUGAACAGUGUAUCACUUUAUACGCAUUAACAGCCCGUUAUUCCGUUGGGCCGUUUCCAGCCCAUGUUAUCUUUCGGCCUUCUCAGAGCCCAUUUAUUCUUGGGCUCAUUUCCAGCAUUCGUUUACUUACGGCCUGUUACUGUCAUUUUCUGCUUGUGGGCCAAAUUCAGCCCGUGGUUACAGUCGGCCUGUUUGUGGUCCAUUAAUACGUUGGGCCGUUUUCAUAGCGUCAUCAAAUACGGCCUAUUAACGAUGGCCCGUUAUGGUCGGCCCAUGAACGGACGAUUCCAACUCUAGCCCGUUUAUGGCCAUAAUGCGGCCUGUUAUUGGCCCAUGUUUGGCCAAUCGAUCAUACUGCCCGUAUAAGGCCCAUUGAUGAUAUGGCCCGUAGAAGGCCCAUUGUUUCUACGGCCCGUAGAAGGCCCACUGUUUCUACGGCCCGUAGAAGGCCCACUAUUUCUACGGCCUGUAGGAGGCCCAAUGUCACUACAGUAAAUAUUAGCCCAUGGUUAUUGUGGCCUAGUUUUAAAAAAUAGGUUAUUGCAGCCACUAGCAAACCGCGGAAAAAGAACUACAAUGACUACAAGCAAACAAAUAAACAAGACAACAAAGAAAUAAAUAAGAAAACAACUUAUGCUAGGCUAUCACGGCUAUCACACAUAUUACAUCCACUGAGCAUCAAAGUUCGCCAGCAGUGCAAAUAAACGCGCCGACAAAAGAAUAUACAAAACUGAGAGCACUUCAGAAGGCACUAGGCCUGGCCAGGUCGGGCCGCCCAAACAGCUGAAGAAGCUGAGUAGACCUUAGUUGUGUCAAUGAUAGAUGCAUCAACACUAGAUUAAAGGCAUGAUGGUGCGCACGACAGUCCUCUGACAUCUUCAUUGCAUCUUUGACUUCAAGUCGGAGCUGAGCUGAAGCAAGCCUUUCCGCUUUAAGUUGAGACUGAAGAAGUCAAACUAAUUGAGGCAGCGACUGCACAGAGGUUGUCUCACACCUGCUGGUGAGUAGCUUCAACUCACUGUCUUCAUCAAGACCGGACCUUGGGGUCAUCUCGCUGUCCUCAAGAUGGUUUGGCUCACUAUCUUCCCUAAAGUUCUACCUGGCGUAAGAGAUACGAGUCUGAAAGAGAAACAAGGAGACACGUAACAGGUUUCACAACUAUAUAAGCAAAUAAAUGGAUCUGUUCUGCAUAAGGAACAUGUUUUUACAACUACAAUUUGAAACUGAUAGUUGUUGCAAACAUCCAAUCAGAUGUAAACAGCAAAGCAAACAGCAGUGGAGGAAAUGAUGCCUAUCCAAAUCUAUACUAGAAAAAAGUUUGAAGACUUGAGAAGGAUGAACUUACAUUACAUGUUAACACAGGCUGGACAAAGCCCUUCUCCAUGUUAAUGGAAGGAUAAUUCAAUAAAUUCCCCAAAGAAAAUUCUUUAUAAGCGUUGCCAUUAUUCUAUAUUUUGCAAAGAGUAAAUAUAGAUCAAAUAAUAUUGGAAGAAACAGAGGAUAAUGAAGCUCAGGUGCAGACUGAUGAUACAUAAUCAAAUAGCAAUUAAUUAAGUAUAGCGUUACAAGGCAAAAGGGAGAGAGGUACAGUCUUUCACGGACAUAGGGAGUAGGUUGAGCACUUGAGCAUGAGCGUGUGUGUUGCGUCGUGUGCUGUGUGCCGCAUGGGUGCGUGAGUGUUGCGGUGUGUCCAUGUGUACAUGUGAGUGCUGCAUGUUGCAUGCAUGCAUGCAUGCAUGGGGCUUACUCCCUCCCAUUGACAUGUUCAUAUUUCAAGCUUCCUCUGUUCCCUCCAUAUGGUGAUACUCCAUCUGUUCCCAAAUAGUGCGGAGUAAAACCCUCCCUCUGUUUCCAAAUAUGGAGUAUUUGUCUUUCUACAGAUUUCAACAAGUGACUAGGUACGGAGCAAAAUGAGUGAAGUGAGCGUAGAGGCAUAGGGAUACUGUAGAAAGGAAGUCCUCGCGAUCCAUUAUUCCCCAUCUCGGUCAGAGAUAACUAUUCAACUAGUCUUCGCAGUGAAGUGACAAUACACGCUGCAGCAGAUGGGACACGUAAUUAAUAAGCUGAACCAGCGUGUUGGUGUUACUAAAUCAGCCUUACCCAGUACUGCCUCCUCCUCUCUUGUUCUUCCUCCUCUCUUCCCCAUCGUCGACCGCACACCAUUUACCCCCGCUCACUGCUCGCCCGCCCGCGCCAUCUUCCUUGGUAGCUCGCGCGUACCAUAUCCCCCCGCUCACUGCUCGGCCACAUGAGGAGAAGCUUCUUCGCUCGCCCGCCCAAAUCCACUUCCCCGCUGGCUCGCAGGCACCGAAAACCGCAAUGGCAGAACCGACUGACACGCAGAGCCGCGAUUGGAAUUCCCUCCCCGGUGUUCUCUUGGAGCAGAUCUGUAGUCGUAUGGACCUACUCAGCACCGUCCAUCUGGCCGCAUGCUCGGUGUCUUUGUACCGUCUACUCGUCUGCAACCGGCCGGCUCUUUUCAAGACACACUGCUUGUUGAUGCCCGAUCCUCGCAGGUGGCCCAGACACCGACUUGACGAUCCUACGGAGGUUGCCGUGGUGCCCCUUGACAUGCUACCACUACCCGUCCACCUGUCCUUCAUGCGCGGCCACUACUGGGCGGGCAUGAAGGCCAACUUGAUCGUCCUCAUCCACCACACCGGUAGUCUGUGGCGUCUCGUGGAUAUCUACACCCAGCGAGAGAUCACCCUUCCAUCGUUGGAUACCGCCACCAUCGAGCCUCGCGGCCCGCCGGACACUCCUGCCUACUACGCACGAGACGCGUCAAGCUUUUGGCUCGACCUCUGUUUGCAGAAAGUUGUAAUCUGCGAAGUGCCCACACCAUCAGAAGACUACAUGGAUUAGAAGCUCAUUGCCUUGUUCAACAUGGGAUUAGUCUAUCUGGAAUCCGGUCGCCAUACAUGGUUAUGGCUCAUCAUCAAUCAUGUUCAGGCAACAUUUCUGUCUAAUGCUAUAGUGCACGAUGGCAUCGUUUACGCGGUCGACGCACAGAUUGGUUGCCUAUACUGGUGGAAUCUAUCGUUGUGUAAUUGUUUUAUCUCAUCUCAUCUUUACCUUAUGAAUACGACUGUCUAUUCAUUUGUUACAAAUUUAGAAUGCAUAGCAUGUCUAUAACCACAUCAUUGCUAUAUGUUCCUCUCAUUUCCUAGAUUUUUAUGACCACACAUGUUAUUGUUAGAGUUGAUAUGAGAACAAUUGGCAUCUAAUGAUUGUUAGAAUACAUAUUAUGAGCAUAACAUCAUGAUUGCUAUAUGUUACUCUCAUUUAUGAGAUUUUUAUAACAACGCAUGUUAUUGCUUAGAGUUAAUAUGAGAACAGUAGUAGUAAGUGCUAUGGUAGAAUAUGAGUAGGCGUUGUCAUAGCUGUUUUCCUCUCGUUGUUACAUGAUGUUUGAACCAUGACAUAUUGCUAGAAUAUGAAAGCCAUUGGCUUAUUUUAUUUUAACUUGGGGUAUGAUUAUGACCACGGCAUUGCAAUUCUCUGUCUAUGAUAUGUGUCACUGUUAUAAUAAUCUUAAUUCCACACAUACUCUGAACAUGAUUGUUUAUUUUUGUCCUUUUGGUCUCCAAUUUGAAUUGUUGCAGUAGAUGCAAAUGCGCUGGCCUUCAUGAUUCUAGGACCUGGAACCAUACCAGCCGAUGGGUGGUGGUUUAUCGCUCGUUCAGCUGACGGCAGUCAUUUGAUGCUCAUUCGCACGUACCAAAUUGACCAAACCAUUACAUCAAACCACAUGCAUUACAAUGCGUGGGGCGUUCGUGACAUUGAUGGCUAUGGCUGCUUCGUGUUCGAGAAAGAUCCCAGCUCCAUUGGGCCAGGCGUAUUCAACUGGAGGCGGGUUUACAACCUCGGCAACCACUCCUUGUUCCUCGGGCUCAAUUAUCUGAUCAUCCAACCAAUCAUCGAUCAUGUCACCGGCGAUGAUUAUUGUGCUAUGCAACUUCCAUUCGCGAGGGGGUCUGUGUUUACACAUCAUACCAUGGGUUUCAUGAAUCACCAUAUCCAGAGAUUCGUCGACACAUCUUGUUGCCAGAUAAUCUUCAGUGUGUGAAAGGCAUCAAGCUUCCAUGCGAUGGAUGGCUUUUGCAAACCCGGCAUGCGGGGAUGUGGUUCAUGCCAACAGCAAAUAUGCACAACUUGAUUCGUGUUGAUAUCUAGACUAAGCCAUGUAUUCUGCUGCUAUAGCACGACCCUCUUUUGUUGGAUAUUAUGUAAUGUUGUUAGUUUGAAGCACUCCUCUGGUUUGAAGGAUAGAUACCUUCCUGGGAUCAAGUGCAUCCUAACUCACCUGCGUAGGAUGUACUGAUAAUGAUGAUGAAGAUGUUGUGCAGAAGCCAUAUAUAUCAGUUAGGCUUUAAGUGCAUACUUAUUAGUUAAACCUAUGUAUAAAUUGUGACACUAAAUAUGACUAGUAAGUACUCCAGUACAGUAGCAGUACUAGUAUACGUUGGUCAAAUUAUUCAUCAUGUCCACACAUUGAAUUGACGUGACAACACGCUGCGCAUGAGGUGACACAAGAAUCCCGGCGACAUGUUCGGGUAUUCUGGACUUCAGAUUUGGAGUACCACUUAUCUGUCGAAAUCUUUCAUCAUUCACUUAAAACAGUCGAUUGAUCAUACAUUGAGUACCAUAUAACUGGAAUUACUGAUGUAAGUCGAAGAAGGAUUGGCUGGUGCUGCCGGCUGGCGUCAAGUUCCAUCCCACGGAUCAGGAGCUGAUCGAGCACCUUGAGGCCAAAGUGAGUGCUGACAGCGCGAGAUUUCAGUCUUUCAUCGAUUUGUUCAUACCAACCAUCGACAGCGAGCACGGCAUAUGCUACACCCAACCUGAGAAACUUCCAGGUAAGACACCGAUCGGUCGUCUACUUGCACAAACAUAUUCCUUUGUUUAUAGCUCUAUUUUUAUUUUUAAACGCAGACCUGGUGAAGCAAUUACAAUUUGACAGUUAAUAAAAAGUGAAACAAGUGACUGCAACAUGCCAAAGAUGUUAUGAAAAUGCCAACUAGGUACACUAAAACCUGUAUUCCAUAAUACUGCAGGUAUCACACUGAGUGGCCUAAGGAAGCAUUUGUUCCAGCGCAAUUCCAGGGCGUUCAAAAGGGGCACAUGGACGUGUCGCAAGAUAAAGUCAGAGUGCGGCAUGCACGCGAUGUGGCACAAGACCGGCAAUACCUUGCCGGUGAUGGUCAACGGCCGGCAGACGGGCAGCAAAAAAGGUUCUGGUGUUGCACACCAACAAGAACUUCGACCAGCAGAGGUCCAACUGGGUGAUGCACCAAUACCACCUCGGGGACCUGGAGCAAGAGAAGGAGCAGGAGCUGGUCCUCUGCAAGAUUUUCUACCAGACGAACACUAGGGCCAGGAGUAAAAAGAUUAUAAGUUAGUUUGGUAUUGGUAGUUGUACUACCUUAUCGUCCACAAGUUGGUAUUGUUGUUAACGAUCUUUUGGUAUGAACUUGCAUUUAGUUCCAACCAUCAUGCCGAGGGUCGACGUGGAUAUAAAGCUGAAUCAUUUGUUUCGAAACGAAUUUUCAGGCACCUGAUUUUUAUUUGAUGGGUAGCAUAAGCACCCGCCGUUCGAAUUCCCGGUUCUCCAAUUUUUUCGAAACAAGUGCAUGCACUUAUUAUCAUGAUAAAAAACAAUAUCCAUGCUGCAUCCCAGUUAUCAGUUUGUACUUGCAGAAUUCUCUCGUUUAUUGAGCACGUAUAUUGUUUUUUCAAGUCGAGCAAGUUUCAACUGGGCUGUAGACUGCCUAGGGUUGGUUUUGUUUUUAACGGGCCCAGCCCAUGACGACAAGGGGGCACAAAGAUCUAGCAGGUAUCUACUGGCCUCUGGCCCGCCAGCGUUAGUUAUAUUUUGUCUUACAACAUCCGAGGCAGUUUUUUUACUGAAUCAAACACACAGCCCAGUUCUAUUAUCCUCUUGAAACACAUGCCCUACAUCUGUUUUCUAAUCUUUACCUAUAGUUUUACUAGUUCAUAUACACGUAUCAUUAUAUUGAAAACACAUAAAAUUUCCUUUUCAUAUUUACAUCCUUAUUUUUGUUGUUUUUCCCACCCAGCACUGAUUUUUUUUACCACUGGUUUUCCCUUAAACCAACUCAAUUGUCCCACGUCUUAUUUGCUUACAAAAACAAAACGAUUUUUUUGGCAAAUCAAUAAGUUCUUAAAAAAUGAUUAUCAUUUCAGGAUUACAACAGUUCAGACUUCAUCGAAAUACGCAAAAUAAGGUUGAACUUUUUGGCCGUGGUCCUGGACAGAAAAUGGGCUGUAAUAAAUUACUUAAGAAUUAGCAAAUGGGCUGCAAAUUAUAAAAAAUAGCAAAUGGGCUUUAUGUUGUCUGUCACAGAUUUGGAGGCUGACUUGUGGGCCUACUAAGUUCAUGCAUACACAAGGUCUCUCAAAAAAGAAACUUAGUUAACAAUCGACUCUACCAGCGUCAGACCGUUAGAUGUCAAUUUAACGGCAAUCGUGCUUCUUCAGUCUCUGAUCUUCCUGCCCCAGCCGCCCAAACCAGCACCGUCGGAAUCGCCUCCUCCCGCCUCCCAUGGCCGGCAGUGCUGCCGGGCAGGCCUCACGGCCCCAUCAUACUCGCAUACCUGGCCUGUCUAUCCCUCUACUCACCCAGACCUCCUGUUAUUUUCCGGCGACGGUAGCCGAACCAGUCAACCCUCGUACUCUCCACCACGUGGGCAGCCACUGCCGUGUCUUCCCCAGCUCCGUGUCGUUCCCUUCGUAGGCAUCGCUGUCGUCCACCGCCCUGGAGCUCUCGGCGCGGCGUGGUCAACGAUGUCCAUCCAACGGCCGUAGUGCUUCUUCAACCUCUGGUCUUCUUACCCCGGCCGCCCAAAGCAGCGCCGGUCGUGCCGCAUGCUCCUACCUCCCGUGGCCGGCUGUGCUGCCACGGAGGCCUCACCAUCCCCAUACUAUUCCCACCGCUCGCCAGGCCAUCCCUCCACUCACCCACUCCCCCUGUUAUUCUGCGGCGACGGCAGCCUCACACCACAGCCGAACCAGUGAACCCUCGUAUUCCCCUCCGCGUGGGCAUCCACUGCCGCGUCUUCCCCGGCUCCGCGUCGUCCCCUUCCUAGGCCUCGUCGUCGUCCACCGCCGUGGUGCUCUCGGCGCGGCAUGGUCAAUGUGGUCAAUGACCAACUUUCAUCGGAAGAGUACUGUACGUGGAGAGGCUGACAGCUGGGUCCACGGCAGCCGCAAGGAAGUGCCUCCUUAUUACACGCAAAAUAAUUAUUCCUCCACCUGACAGCAGGGACCUACCGGACGGGCCACCAGUAUUUCGGGGAAAAAAUGUUUCCCCCCUGACUGCUGGGACCCAUCGGACGGGCCACCGUAUUUUGCGAAAAAAAUGUUUGCCCCUGACUGCUGGGACCCACCGGACGGACCACCAUAUUUCGCGAAAAAAUGUUCCCCUCGCUGUCAGCUCGGACCCACCGAAAGUGCCUCCUUAUUACGCACAGAAAAAUGAAUACUCCCCCUGCUAGCUGGGACCCACUAUGGUGGGAGGCUAACUUGUGGGCCUACUAAGUUGACGGGGACGGAGGGCUUUGUCAACUUAGUCAAUAUGAACGAUUCUAGCUCUAGUGACCGUACGAUGUCCAUCGAACGGCCAUCGUGCUUCUUCAAUCUCUGCUCUUCCUGCUCCAGCCGCUCAAACAAGCGCCGACGGGACUGCCUGCUCCCUCCUCCCCGCGGCCAGCUGUGCUGCCGCGUAGGCCUCACUGCCCCAUCAUACUCCCAUCGCUAGCCUAGCCAUCCCUCUACUCACCCACACCUAAUGUUCUUCUCCAGCGACGGCAGACGAACCAGUAAACCCUCAUACAGUCGUACUCCCCCCCCCCGCGUGGGAAACAACUGCCGAGUCUUCCCUGCCUCCGUGUCGUUCCCUUUCUAGGCCUCGUCGUCGUCCACCGCACUGGUGCUCUCAGCGCGGCCUGGUCAACAUGGUCAACGACCAACAUGCAUCUGAAGUGGACUGUACGUGGAGAGGCCGAUAGCUGGGUCCACGGCCUCACGCAAGGAAAUGCCUCCUUAUUACGCGCAAAAUAAUGAUUCCUAAACCUAACAUUAGGGACCCACCGAAAGGGCCUCUGUAUUUCAUGAAAAAAAUGUUACCGCCGCUGACAGCUCGGACCCACCAGCUAUAUCUUCGCACGCAAGAAAGUGCCUCCUUAUUAUGCACAAAAAAAAUGAAUACUCCCCAUGUUAGCUGGGCCCAGUAUAGUGGCAGGCUGACUUGUGGGCCUACUAAGUUGACGGGGACGGAGGGCUUUGUCAACUUAGUCAAUAUGCACGAUUCUAGCUCCAGUGACCAUACGAUGUCCAUCCAACGGCCGUAGUGCUUCUUCAACCUCUGGUCUACUUGCUCCAGCCACUCAAACCAGCGUCGGUCGUGCCUUGUGCUCCUGCCUCCCGUGGCCAGCUACGAUGCGGUGGAGGCCUCACCGCCCACUACUACUCCCACAGCUGGCCAGGCCAUCCCUCUACUCACCCACACCCCCUGUUAUUCUGCGGCGACGGCAGCCUCACACCGCAGCGAACCAGUGAACCCUCGUACUCCUCUACGCGUGGGCAUCCAUUGCCACGUCUUCCCCAGCUCUGCAUCAUCCCCUGCCUAGGCCUCGCCGUCGUCCACCGCCCUAGUGCUCUCGGCGCGGCGUGGUCAAUGUGGUCAAGAAACGGCUUCCAUCGAACGUGGACUGUACGUGGAGAGGCUGACAGCUGGGUCCACGGCCGCAGCAAGGAAGUGCCUCCUUAUUAUGUGCAAAAUAAUUAUUCCUCCACCUGACAGCGGGGACCCACCGGACGGGCCACCGUAUUUCGCAAAAAAACGUUUCCCCCCUGACUGCUGGGACCCACCAGCUACACCUUCGCACACAAGGAAGUGCGUUCGGGCAAAAAAACGAUUCGCCCCCCUGACUGCUGGGACCCACCAGCUACAUCUUUGCAAGCAAGGAAGUGCCUGACAGUCGGGACCUACCUGGUCGAAGCAUACGUAGCGUUGUCAUUCUGGUCGCGAACGUGUACGUACAUACUGGCUGAUGUAGAGGCGUGCACGUGUCGUAGUAGAGGCGCACACGUGUCGUAGUAGAGGCGCGCACGUAGCAUGUACACGUACAUACAGCGGCCAUGGUGCAAGAAAGAAAAUACGGCCAUGUAUGUGUACAUACGGGCAGGGUCUCGAACGCCUACUCACGCAUAUGUACGGCCAGGGCCCGUGUACAUGGCUGGGUCGGAACGGAGAAAUAGCGUUGUCGUCGUGUUCAUGGGGAGGCAACGGAAUGCGUCGUGUUCAUGGGGAGGCAACAGAAUGUGUCGUGUUCAUCGGGAGGCAACGGAAUGCGUCGUGUUCAUUGAGAGGCAACGGAACGCGUGGGAGCCAACCGGCUGGGUCGGAACGGAAUGCGUGGUCGUGUUCAUCGGGAGGGCUUGGACGGAACAAGCGAUGGAAACGAGGCCUGGCGUACCGCAAAAGGAGGAAACGGACCUCCUACGGUCGAAAUGGGGGUCCGGUUGAUCGGGAGGGGUGUGGCGUACCGCAAAACGGAGGAAACGGACCUCCUACGGUCAAAACGGGGGUCCUGUUGAUCGGGAGGGGUGUGGCGUACCGCAAAACGGACAAAACGGGCUUGUGUUGGAGCGCUACGGUCGAAACGGGGGUCCUGUUCAUCGGGAGGGGUGUGGCGUACCGCAAAACGGGACUCCACGGGAUACUGUUCAUCUCCACCACCGACCUCCUCCAGCCUCCACGGGCUACUGUCGACCUCCUCCAGCCUCCACGGGCUCCUGUUCAUCCAGCCUCCACCGCGCGCUACUCCACCGGCUACUGUUCAACUACCCCUCUAUCGUCUACUGUUCAUUCAGCCCUCCACACCACGGGGUCAUGUUNNNNNNNNNNNNNNNNNNNNNNNNNNNNNNNNNNNNNNNNNNNNNNNNNNNNNNNNNNNNNNNNNNNNNNNNNNNNNNNNNNNNNNNNNNNNNNNNNNNNNNNNNNNNNNNNNNNNNNNNNNNNNNNNNNNNNNNNNNNNNNNNNNNNNNNNNNNNNNNNNNNNNNNNNNNNNNNNNNNNNNNNNNNNNNNNNNNNNNNNNNNNNNNNNNNNNNNNNNNNNNNNNNNNNNNNNNNNNNNNNNNNNNNNNNNNNNNNNNNNNNNNNNNNNNNNNNNNNNNNNNNNNNNNNNNNNNNNNNNNNNNNNNNNNNNNNNNNNNNNNNNNNNNNNNNNNNNNNNNNCAAUGCUCACUGUUCAUCCCAGAGGCAGCAUCGAUCGGCUUCAGUUAGCAGCAGUAGCGAAGGAAUCGCUCGAUCAGGUUCAGUUAACAGUCAUCGAUCGAUCGCUCGGGUUCAGUAACGCGUAGCCUGCAGUGCAAUCGCUCGGGUUCAGUUAGAGCCCAACGCCUCGCUCGGGUUCAUUUAGAGCCAACGCCUCGCACACACGCGCGUACGUGUAUGAGAGAAAUGUGCAUCGCUCGGCCCCCGACCUCCCACCGUAACCGGGAACUCCCCGAAAAUUUUCUCCCCCUCGCUUCUACCAUGGUUUUUCCGUCAUGGACGGCCCAAAGAAUGUCAUGCAGCUGCGUCUCCGGCCCGCCCAGGACGAAAAGCCCAUUUUCUGUCAUGAUUUUUUGUCAUAGAAGUAGGAGCCCACCACAUCUAUGAUGAUACCGGGUUUUGUCACAAUUAUUGUCAUAGAAGUGUCAUAUGUAUGACAGAAAAAAUUCGUUCGGCCCAAAAUAUCACGGAUGUGUCUUUUUUUGUAGUGAGAGUAUUAAGUUAAAAACAGAGUAACGCCUUAAGCAAGAUGACAUGAUGUAGAGGGAUAGACUCAUGCAAUAUGAAGAAAACCCCAUCUUGUUAUCCUCGAUGGCAACAAUACAGUACGUGCCUUGCUGCCCCUACUGUCAAUGGGAAAGGACACCGCAAGAUUGAACCCAAAGCUAAGCACUUCUCCUAUUGCAAGAAAGAUCAAUCUAGUAGGUCAAACCAAACUGAUAAUUCGAAGAGACUUGCAAAGAUAACCAAUCAUACAUAAAAGAAUUCAGAGAAGAUUCAAAUAUUGUUCAUAGAUAGACUUGAUCAUAAACCUACAAUUCAUCGGUCUCAACAAACACACCGCAAAAAGAAGAUUACAUCGAAUAGUUCUCCACAAGAGAGGGGGAGAACAUUGUAUUGAGAUCCAAAAAGAGAGAAGAAGCCAUCUAGCUACUAACUAUGGACCCGUAGGUCUGAGGUGAACUACUCACACUUCAUCGGAGGGGCUAUGGUGUUGAUGUAGAAGCCCUCCGUGAUCGAUGCCCCCUCCGGCGGAGCUCCGGAAUAGGCCCCAAGAUGGGAUCUCGUGGAUACAGAAAGUUACGGCGGUGGAAUUAGGGUUUUGGCUCCGUUUCUGAUCGUUUGGGGUACGUGGAUAUAUAUAGGAGGAAGGAGUACGUCGGUGGAGCAACAGGGGGCCCACGAGGGUGGAGGGCGCGCCCCCCUACCUCGUGGACUCCUCGUUUCUUUCUUGACGUAGGGUCCAAAUCUCCCGGGUCUUGUUCGUUGAGAAAAUCACGUUCCCGAAGGUUUCAUUCCGUUUGAUAUUCCUUUUCUUCGAAACCCUAAAACAGUCAAAAAACAACAAUUCUGGGUUGGACCUCCGGUUAAUAGGUUAGUCCCAAAAAUAAUAUAAAAGUGGAUAAUAAAGCCCAAUAAUGUCCAAAACAGUAGAUAAUAUAGCAUGAAUCAAUAAAAAAUUAUACAUACAUUGAAGAUGUAUCAGUACUUAUUUUUUUAAUGGCCUUUCUUCCUGUACUCAUUCGCUCAACUCCAUGCUUUCCUGAUCAUCCUCUUCCUCUUAUCACCUGCUAGGCAUUUAACCAAACAGGGUAAAUGCAGAAAGGUGCAUUCUACAAACCAUGUGAAUGAGAUCGACAUGGAUUGAUUGAUCAAAUAAUGAAAAUCUAAGAAAUCUAAAUCUCCAAAAGAAUGCAAACAAUCUUCAGGCUAUGUAACUGUACCCACAUGUUUGCUUCAAAUAAUUGAUUAUGAAAAGAAAAGGGAGUGCAAUGUAGUUGGGUGAGUUAAAUCCACAGGACCAUCACAUUCGUGUCACGAUUAGUGGAAAACCACCGCUUUACGUUUCAUGACAGUUUGCCCUGAACCAAAAAUUUGACAGGCGCAAAAAACACUGAGUCAUUUUCUGAGCGCGUUUUGGCGUGGUUGAUCACUUGUCGGCCGGCAGCAGUGAAGGCACGCCGUUAACGGACGUCAACGGCCGGUCGGGAACCGCGGUCAAGCCCAGGCGUUAACGGGUGUCAAAGAUUCAUGAUUAAAAAUAUUAAUGAAAUUGAACAAAAUGUCCACCAAUUCAAAAAAUGUUCAUGAAUUUGAAAAAUAUCCUAAAAAUUCAAAAAAUGUUCAUGAAUUGCAAACUAAUCUAUUGAUUUUUUUAAUGUUCGUUGAUUCAGAAAAUGAUCAAGAUUUUUUAAAAAUGUUCAUUAAAUAAAAAAAGUUCAUGAAUUUUAAAAAUUGUUCCACCAAUCUCCAAAAAGAUGUUCAUACAUUAUAGAAAUGUUCCCGAUUAAAAAAUAUUCACAAUAAUAAAAGAUAUUUGCAAAUAUUAUAAAAUGUUCAUGAUUUUAGAAUGUGUUCAAAAAUUUAUAGAAAUGUUUAGGAAUUUGAAAAGGUUCAUGAUUUCAAAUAUGUUUAUGAGUUUCAAAAUAUCUUCAUGAUUUAAAAAAAAUCACAAUUUCAAGAAAAUGUUCACAAUAAAGAAAAGGAACAAAAAAAGAAUAAAAACAGAAAACAGAAAAGAAAAAUGAAGAAGUCAAAAACCCGGUUCAGGGAAGGUUCUAGAUUCUUCCCAGAACUGGUGUGGAAGAAAUCCGAAAAUAGGCUGGCCCAAAAUAGGAUCGAAUGCAGGAGAGGCUACAUAUUAGGUUGCUAGGAAACGACCUGCGUGCCAAAUAGGAAACCCCCACGCAGUAGCGGUUGAAAAAAAAUUACAUUUUNNNNNNNNNNNNNNNNNNNNNNNNNNNNNNNNNNNNNNNNNNNNNNNNNNNNNNNNNNNNNNNNNNNNNNNNNNNNNNNNNNNNNNNNNNNNNNNNNNNNNNNNNNNNNNNNNNNNNNNNNNNNNNNNNNNNNNNNNNNNNNNNNNNNNNNNNNNNNNNNNNNNNNNNNNNNNNNNNNNNNNNNNNNNNNNNNNNNNNNNNNNNNNNNNNNNNNNNNNNNNNNNNNNNNNNNNNNNNNNNNNNNNNNNNNNNNNNNNNNNNGUUUGGGAAUCCCCCCACCUGGGCCGGCACAUGGAGUAGCAACCGUGCAAAACGGUUGGGAAAAAAUCCUAAAAAUUUCUUGUGCUACACAUGAAUACAACCGAUUGCUCACGGAUGCAGGUAGUUUUUUUUUUGCAUGGUAAUACGUGUCUCAUUCAUAUCAUAAAGAUUAAAAUACAAGUCACGCAAGAACCGACAUGACAAAACUAAAAAGAUAGCAGAACAUCUCUGAGCUUGACACCAACGCCCAUCACCUGCCUCCGGCACCACGACAGCAGCCACCGAAGAAAAAAAUGAUGGAUCACCUCCUCACCCGAGCUCGACACGGCUCCAUCACUGAUAUGCAGCUUUGCGGACCUCCAAGGUGGCUCACCAAAAGUGAAGCCCUUACCGUUGAACGAAUCAGACCGGGGCAACACCCCGGACACGUCAUCGAACUCCAGAUCUGGCACCCCACCGCGACUAAGACGUCGCGGAAGGAAACCAUACCUGCCAUCCACGAACCACGAACCCAGCACAUGUUCCGUCUUCCAGAUGUCGUCGAUGCAGACCACAAUCUGCAUCCGCUCCUGGACUACCUCCCAAGCUCCGCGCCGACGCUGGAGCAAACGCCGUCGCAACGGCGGAGCCCGAGGACACAGGUCCACCACGAGGAUGCCGCCGCCGCCACGCCAUCCUUGCUUGAACAGACUGGUUUCCAAAUCCAACCCCAACCAUAGGACCAAUGGCCUUGUCAAAUAAGGAUCUGAAGAAUCUUUAUUCAGCGCUGUCAUCGUCGUCGUCGAAACAAAAACGAUGAACAACCUAAAAAUCUAAACUACGAGGGAGUAAAAACGAUCCACACGCGUGGAUCCGGCGACCCCCCUCACCACCGACGAUCGAGGUCGCCGGCGGAGGGGAGCCGCCGGAGGACGGCGCUGGAAGAUUGGGUCUCCUGGCGGCGGCUAGGGUUCCAACCGCCAGGGACAGGAGGAAAACUGCACGGAGGCAGGUAGUUAAACAGUAGAUCUUGUGAGCCUUUGUGACUAUAUACCCGUGUGAAUUUUGAAGAAUUAACUGCAGAGGUAGACCAAGAAUUAACUGCAGAGGUAGACCAGAAUAUUAUAUGUUUUUUACAUUUCUUGGAAUUCAUAAUAAUUCUUUAAGUAAUAUUUUUUUGACAAACACGAUAUUUUUUCCAAAAUGUGAACAACGCUUCAAUUUGUGAAUAAAUUUUAAAAGGGAACAUUUUUUUUCAUUUGUGAACAAAUUCUGAAAAGUGGAAAAAAUUCCUGAACAAAAUUUUGUAAACGAGGCCAUUUUUCUGGAAGGGGGAAUUUUUUUUUGACAUUCUAAACAACUUUUGAAACAUUCGAAUAUUUUUAUAUUUCUGAUUUUUUUUAAUUUCCGCUUUUUGAAAAGGAAUAAUUUUUUGAAAUACAAUCAUUUUUUGAAAAUUCCAAACACUUUAUAAAAGCAAUAAUUUUUUAAAAAAAUUGAACAAAACUUGACAUUUCGAAACAUUUUCUGAAAACAUGAGCAUUUUUUGAAUUUAUGACAUUUGGUAAUCUUUUAGGCUUUAUAGGGCUGAUGUGAAAACAAAGUCAAAAAGAAUUUUGUAAUCACGAAUUGGCAUUUGGUAACUUAUACGAAUUAAACAUCAAUUUCUUAUUCAUCUAUUUUCUUAGUUUUUGUGGAUGAAUGUAUGACCCUCAAGAUUUUAGGCUCUCAAUAAUAUAUGAAGAUUUCAGGAUUUGGUGGUUUUUAGCAUUUUCGUUGUUGUUAGUCUCAAUGGCGGUGAUGAUUAGCAACUGGUGUUGGUUGUUUUGCUUUAAGCUCUCUCCCAAGACUGCAUUGUAUCUUCUUUUUCCUGGGGGUAUUUUGUAUUAGUGUUGGGACACCUGUUGUCUCUCGUGAUUUCUCGAAGAUGAUAUAUUUGUGUUAUCUUCUUCUUUUUGCAAAAUAUAUACAAUUAUUAUUUAAAUGAAGAUCUCAAUGAAAAUGAGAGUGAUAGUGUAUCUCGGUGAUGCGGCAAAAUUUGAUCAUGUCCAUUGAAAUUUAUGGGGGGGAAAAUCCCGUUAUAACACAUGGACCCUUUUACUAAUACCACUAUAUAGUAUGCGAAUAACUUUGAAUAACAACCAUUGGAUGAAGCCGAUCUAACGGUGAAGACGUGGCAAAUCCGAGUGUUAUUGACCGUUGGAUCUUCUCAUUACUUCACUGGAUUCUUCCACGUGUACUAUCUAGAAGAUUCUAUGGUUGGGCUAAAGCCAUAUGGACAUUUUGCACAAAAUUUAAAGCACACUUCUACUUUAUUCUAGACUCUUCCAUACUCAGACUCUCCUAACUUCUUUUUCUAUCGAAACUAUCAUUCAUUUUACUUCGUAUUCAAGUCUAUGUACCUUCAUAAAUCAUAUUUAUCUUUACAGAUACUGUAGAACAUUAGCUUUGAGAUAGCCAAAAAAGAUACCUAGAUAAAACACGCCCAGUAUAUUUUACGUGAUUUUUGUAUGUUAUACUUCAUGCAUAUGCCUCACAAUUUCAUUUGCCGGCAUAACUAGCCAAAAAGGAUACCUAGAUAAAACAGGCACAAUAUAUUUUACAGUAACAAUAUGUCUAUAUUUGGUUGUAGUUUGACUAUACGAGCUCUCACGUGCUAUGCACGUAUAACUUACUAGUACUAAUAGAUAUAGAUAUAGAUUGUGGCAGUUUUUUUUAAUGAAAGUCGACGGGGAAGCCGUUGUAUAGAAAACCCAGCGCCGGCGCUCGCCGUGCCGGAGCCGGAAACCCUCCUCAACGAUGCCGCAUUAAUUGCGCCAAGGUACAAACCGGAUUCACCAAAUCCCACCCCCACCGGGAUCGAAACGGCUUGCCGCCCUACGCUGCAAGCACCUGCCUUUUCUGGCUAAUCACAAUCGCGCCUGACGUUUUAAUCCGCUGCCAACAGCCAGCAGCAGCAUUUGUUUGGAGCUAAGCUGGACUGCUAAUGCCAGAUUACGGGGCUUAAUAAGCCUAGUGCCUACUCCCGCCUAGCUUCUAGGUAUAGCAAUCAUGGCGGGCAGCCGCCGCGUCCGGGAGAAUCCGCGUCGCGCACCUAUAUAUAUUCCAGCCGCCUCGCCGGAGAGCGGCAAGGAGCUAGCCAAGCCAAGCCAAGCCAAGGGCGUCUGAUCUCACCGGAGGAGCAGAGGAGGGAAGCAGAGCAGAGCACGCACGCGCGCCGCAGCCGACCAUGGCGCGCCCCAUGAGGCUCAUGGAGAACGCGCGGGAGCGUGCCAAGGCGCACGCCAAUAGGGCCAAUGCGCUCAAGAAGCAGGCGGAGAAGCUCGCCACGCUCUGCGCGGUCCCAGUCGCGCUCGUCUGCACCGGCGCCGGGGCUCCGCCGCUCGUGUGGGAGUCGGAGGAGGGCGUGCUCGAGAGGUACCGCCGCGCCGUCCCGCCGGAGGCCCGCGCGGGGCACACGCACCGGGACUACCUCGAGGCGGAGCUGGGCAAGCGGAGGGCCAAGCUCGCCAGGGCGCGCCACGGCUGCCCCGCCGCGCUCCCGGACUGGGACGAGGCGCUCAACGACAUGACGCUGGACGACGCGCGGGCGCUGCUCCGGGCCAUCGACGCGGCGCUGCGGGCCACGGGAGACAGGAUGGAGGCGCUAGGCGUGCCUGCUGACCACGGCCACGGCCCACUCGGUGAGCAGGUCGCGCCGGACUCUUCCGACGUCGCCGUCAUGCCGCAGCACUUCUGGCACGACGGCGGCGUGUCCUGGACCGUGGGCGACCCCGUGGACAUGGCCGACGCCGAGGGCUUGCAGCAGCUGCAGAUGGUGCCGUACCACGGCGGGAACAACGACGACCUACUCGAGCAAUUCCCACGGGACCAUGGCUUCCAGAUGCAACCAGGAUGCAACGGCUUCCAAUGCGCCGGCGGCAACUUCUCGGGCGACGGCGACGACGGGAUGCUCGCGCUUGGCCUCGGCAAUGCUGGCUACAACCACUCGGGCUGCGGCGAUGGGAUGCUCGCGCCGGGCUUCGCCAAUGCUGGCUACAACUACUCAGUCGGCGGCGGCGACAAGAUGCUCGCGCCGGGCUUCGGCAACGCUGGUUACAACUGGCCUGAUCUUACCAUGUGGCACACCGACGAGGUGUGCUUCGCCGACGGCACUCUGGCGCCUGAGCACUACUCCGGCGAGGUCGCCGCCGGCGGCGACUACGUGAGCACACUACCAUCUGGGUACGGGUACCCCAUGGCCAUGGGCAUGGACGUCGGCGACAACUUCACCAGUCUGGAGAGCAACUACACGGCGGCGCAUUGGCAAGCCAAGGCGCUCCAUCGCUCCAACGCCAACGCCAGCGCCAGCACCAUGUCAGGCUCAGCCUUGAUCAUCCCCUGUUUCCAGCAUGCCAGAAGUGUUUUGGUCCGUCGAUCGUCAAUCUAACGGCUCACCUGCCUUCGUACCGGUUCGCCAGCUAUAGCGAUCUCCAAGCGUUCAUUAUCGAUCAAACGGUCAAGAGGGUGUCCUGUAGCUUUUUCGACAAGCCAUGUGCUCCGCUAGCUUUCUGUUCUUCUUUUCAGUCGUGUAAUGGCUAUAAAGCCACCCAUUCCCCUCUUUCUAAGGCAUGUAAUAGAAUUAUUGGGUGUAAAUCCUAGCCGCCAGUGGCUGCUACUACUUUCCCCUUCGUUCUGCAAUGAAAACCCUAGCUAAAUUCGCCUUGAUCAUGUCUGAAUUUCACUAGUUCGUGCCUAAAUUCAGUAUAGUGGGACUCUGUUCCUGACAAUUGGUAUCAGAGGCCAGUCUUUCCUCGGCGGCGGUAGGUGAUUGGGGCAGCGUAGAGGUUGGCUUCUGCUGUAAAAUCUCUCUUCGAGCUCUGAUCGGACGGCGGAGGCAGCAGGCGGCGGCCGGAGUGGCAGCGUUCGGGUGCAGUUGGAGGAACAGUAUGGUUGCCCGGGAGUAAUUCUCCGGCGGUAAAAUUCCAGCUCCUGUGAUCUGACCGUGUACCAGCAGAGGCAGGCGCAGGCGGCGGCGUAGGCGGCGGUGACAAGCAAUCCCACCCGCCCAACCCUCUAUGGUGGUGAUUGCAGACGGUGUAAUCAUGACGGGCCAUGCUGAUUCAGGGUCCAUCGCAGAAUUGCAGCUCGAAUCCCUCGAGUUGGACAUCAAGGCACUGCAGCGGGACCGAGAGGAGGAUCGCAAGGAGUUCCAACAGUUCCAGGCGAUAGUUAACAGGAAUUUUGCUACGAUGCAGAAGAAUUUUGAUAAGAUCCAAGACAACUUCCGACGCUUGUUAUUAGAGUCUGAGCCAGCUCAAGAGGAGGGUAUGGAAGGACAGGGCAGUGUGCAAAUGAAGGACAACCAGGUCAAUUCUCCACGAGUGGCUCCAGGUCGACCAAAGCAACUGCAAGCACCUACUCCUCCUUCUAUGGCAAUGCCUGAAAAAGGAGCACCUUUGCCAAUUGGUACAGCUGUUUUGCGUGAUCAAGCAGGUAGGGAACUGAACAUGGAUGGGACUCCUAAAGUUCCUUACAGACAUCCAAACUAUGGACAGAACAAGGAAAAAGAACACUUUCAGAGAGAUAUAGUUCAAUCAGAGGAAGUGCAAGAAGAUGAUGGGGCUGAGCAUUAUUACAGAAAAAGGAAUGUUCUUACUGUCAAGCCUGCUAAAUUAAACAUCUCUGAGUUUGAGGGACAAGAUCCUGAAUCAUGGAUUCAGAAUUUGGAGCAAUAUUUUGCUGCUGCAAGAACUCCAAUUGAGCAUAGGACUGAAGUGGCCAUUUCUUAUCUCAAGGGUCCGGCAAUUCAGUGGUGGAGGGGUACUGGAUAUGCCUCUAGUAAUGUUCCAUGGCAUAAGUUCUGCUCAUGCUUGUCUGACAGGUUUUCUCUAGAUUCAGCUUGUGACAUUGUGAGCUCCUUUCAUGCAGUUCAGCAGACAACUACAGUCUCUGCUUAUGUAGAGCAAUUUGAACAGCUAAUGAAUGUUAUGAGAAGGGAAAAUCCUGCAAUUCCAGAUGAUUAUUAUGUUUCUAGUUUUGUGUCAGGGCUGAGCACAUAUAUUAAGAGCCAUGUGGAAUGUUUCAGACCCAAGGACAUGCAAACUGCAAUAUGGUAUGCUAGGAGAAUGGAAAAAUCCCAGUCCCCCAAUAUGGUUGUGCAAACCAGACUAUAUGUUCCUCAACCAAGAAGACAGGUCCUAUUUGAACAACCCAAGCAAGCACCCACAUCUACAGUUCCUAAUAGAAAUACUGUGAUUCAACAGGCUAAGCAAAAUCAGGUCUGCUACAAGUGUAGAGAACCAUGGGUGCCUGGCCAUAGACAGGUCUGUAAGAUGAGUCAGAAAGCACAAAUUCAGGCAUUGCAGGCUCAGGGCAGUGACAAUGUGGAAACAAUUUAUGUGACUGACUUUGAGGAUCCUGACUUGGAGAAUUCUGAACCCCUUCCUGAGGACACAAUGUUGCAGGUGUCAAUGCAUGCUGCCAUGGGCAUUGGAGCUGCUAAAAACACUUUUAUUCUAACAGUGAAGGUGGGCAACACCACUGCUACUGCACUAGUAGACAGUGGUAGCACCUCUACAUUUGUUUCUCCUGAGAUGGCUGCUUAAUUGCCUGUUCCAACUGCUCCUAAUCCCAAGAUAAAAGUGGUGGUUGCAAGUGGAGGAGUGUUGUGGAGUGAAUUUACAGUUAAGGACUGCCCUUAUGAAAUUCAGGGCCACAAGUUUUCUGAUGCCUUUAGGGUCUUAAAAUUAAAAGGAUAUGAUAUGAUAUUAGGGGUGGAUUGGUUGAAAAAGUAUAGUCCCAUUCAAAUGGAUUUCAUUAAAAUAGAAAUGAGAGUCUCAACAAAGAGUGGCCAGUUUAUUUCUUUUGUGGAUGAGACCAUACCACUGGCUGAUAUAACAGAAGCUACUGAAAAUCCUGAUAAGUUAAUGGAGCAAGCUGUCUGUGGUUUCUUUCUGUUUACUUCUUCUGGGUGUGAAGUAGUAGCUGCAGCCCAGGAAAUUCCUUCAGAGUUGUUGCCUUUAUUGGAAGAUUAUGCACAAGUCUUUCAAGAACCUCAGGGACUGCCACCUAGCAGACCUUGUGACCACAGAAUUCCACUAAUUGAAGGAGCUAAAGUGGUUAAUCAGAGGCCUUAUAGAGUUCCUCAUCAUCAGAAGGAAAUUUUGGAGAAAAUCAUAUUGGAAUUGUUGAAAAAGGGCAUAAUAAGGCCUAGUACCAGUCCCUUUUCGUCCCCAGUAUUGUUGGUCAAGAAAAAAGAUGGGUCCUGGAGGCUGUGCACAGAUUACAGAAAACUGAAUGCAAUCACUGUAAAAAACAAAUAUCCAAUACCAGUAAUUGAGGAUUUGUUGGAUCAACUAAAAGGAGCUAAGUAUUUCUCUAAAAUUGAUCUGAGAAAUGGGUAUCACCAGAUCAGAAUGGCUGAGGAGGAUAUUUAUAAAACAACAUUUUCCACUCAUAUGGGCUUGUUUGAGUAUUUAGUAAUGUCCUUUGGACUUACUAAUGGGCCUCCUUCUUUUCAAGCAUUAAUGAAUUUAUUGUUUGGUCUCUUGAAGUUUGUAGUGGUGUUCUUUGAUGAUAUAUUAGUGUACGGUUUUUCUUUGGAAGAGCACAAAGUUCACCUGGCAAAAAUAUUUGAUAUUCUGCAAGCUAACAAGUUAUAUGCUAGAAUGGAGAAGUGUUCUUUUGGCCAACAGGAAGUUGAGUAUUUGGGCCACAUAAUUAACUCAGAGGGAGUGUCUACUGACCCUUCAAAAAUCAGAGCUAUCCAGGAGUGGCCCACUCCCACUACUGUCACUGAACUGAGAAGUUUCUUGGGGUUAAGUGGCUACUACAGGAGAUUUAUUCAAGGGUAUGGCAUAAUUUGUAGGCCUCUCUUUGAUUGCUUAAAGAAGGAUUCUUUCUCUUGGAAUGAUAAGCAAACAGAAGCCUUCAUAGCUCUGAAACAGAAGCUGACUAAUGCACCUGUACUGGCACUACCUGAUUUCACUAAGCCCUUUAUACUAGAAGCUGAUGCUUGUGGCUAUGGUCUAGGAGCUGUGCUGAUGCAGGAAGGGAGGCCCAUUUCUUAUUUCAUCAAGAGUAUUAGUCCUAAGGCAGCCGCUAUGUCCACUUAUGAUAAAGAGGCCCUUGCCAUAAUUGAAGCAAUGAAGAAAUGGAGGCACUAUUUCUUGGCAACUGCACUGGUCAUUAGAACUGACCAAGAAAGUCUGAAAUACAUUCAGGAGCAGAAGAUCACUGAAGGAAUUCAACACAAAUUACUGUUGAAGUUGUUAGAAUACAAUUUCACUGUUGAAUAUAAGAAAGGGAAGGAGAACCGAGUUGCUGAUGCUCUUUCAAGAGUGAAGUAUGUGGUAUCUGCUCUCACUGCUAGUGCUGCUACUCCAACUUGGGUACAAGAAGUGGUAAAGAGCUAUAGUCAGGAUAGCAGAGUACAGGAACUGAUUGCUGAAUGUAUUGUAGCUGCUCCUAGCACUACUGCUUACUCUUACAAAAAUGGCAUCCUGAGAUUUAACAACAAAGUGGUUGUGGGAACAGCUACAUCCUUGAGGCAGGGUAUUCUUAAGACUUUUCACAAUUCUGAGUUAGGUGGUCACUCAGGGGAGAGAGCUACAUACCACAGGGUGAAAUUGGUAUUUCAUUGGCAAGGAAUGAAACAGGAUUUUAUUGCUUUUGUUAAGGCUUGCCCUGUCUGCCAGUUGAACAAAGCAGAACACUCUCCUUACCCUGGCCUCCUAGAACCCUUGCAUGUACCUGACUUUGCUUGGGCCCACAUAAGCAUGGAUUUUGUGGAGGGAUUGCCAACUUCUGAGCACAAGAAUUUAAUUAUGGUGGUGGUUGAUAGGUUUACAAAAUAUUCUCAUUUUGUAGCUAUGCAGCACCCUAUAACAGUGCAAACAGUGGCUAGAGCUUUCCCUGAUAAUAUCUUUAAAUUGCAUGGCAUGCCCUUGGUCAUAGUAAGUGACAGGGACCCGAUCUUUACUAGUCACUUGUGGCAGCAGCUAUUCAAAUCACUGAAGAUCAAGUUGCACAUGAGCACUAGUUACCAUCCCCAAUCUGAUGGCCAGACUGAAAGGGUGAACCAGUGUCUUGAGAAUUAUUUGAGAUGCAUGUGUUUUCAGCAACCGAGGAAAUGGCAUAGUUGGCUAGCUUUAGCUGAGUGGUGGUACAACACUUCAUUCCACACUGCUUUGCAAAUGACAUCAUUCCAAGCCCUCUAUGGCUUCCCACCCCCAAUGGUGGCAGAAUCAGCUCUGCCAGAUUCUAUUUGUGAAGAUAGUGAUAACUUGCUUCAGGACAGGGAAGUGGCAUUGGAGGUAAUUAAACAUAAUCUCCUGAAAGCUCAAGAGAGGAUGAAGUAUUAUGCUGAUAAGAAGAGAAAGGAAAGGGAAUUCUCUGUGGGAGACAUGGUUUAUCUCAAGCUACAGCCGUACAGGCAUACUUCACUGAGUUUACACAGGCAUCUGAAGCUUCACUCCAAAUUUUAUGGCCCCUUUAGAGUGUUGGAGAGAAUUGGUCAUCAUGCAUACAAGCUACUGUUACCAGAGGGUUGUAUGCUGCACAACACCUUCCAUGUCAGCCAAUUGAAGAAGCAUAUUGGCCCUAGUGUUGUGCCCUCUCGUCACCUCCCACUUGUGGGUCCUGAUGGUAUUAUUAAGGUGGAACCGGAAGCAAUACUAGAAAGGACACUCAUUCCUCGUCCUCAAGGCAAGAUCAGCAUUCCCGUGGUCAGAUGGUUGGUGAAAUGGGUGAAUCUGCCCGUGGAAGAGGCAACAUGGGAGGAUUCGGCUUUCAUUCAGAAAGUUUUUCCUUCUUUUCGUGCUUGAGGGCAAGCACGAGCUCAACCGGGGGGUAUUGUCAGGCCCAGCCUUGAUCAUCCCCUGUUUCCAGCUUGCCAGAAGUGUUUUGGUCCGUCGAUCGUCAAUCUAACGGCUCAGCUGCCUCCGUACCGGUUCGCCAGCUGUAGCGAUCUCCAAGCGUUCAUUAUCGAUCAAACGGUCAAGAGGGUGUCAUGUAGCUUUUCCGACAAGCCAUGUGCUCUGCUAGCUUUCUGUUCUUCUUUUCAGUCGUGUAAUGGCUAUAAAGCCACCCAUUCCCCUCUUUCUAAGGCAUGUAAUAGAAUUAUUGGGUGUAAACCCUAGUCGCCAGUGGCGUGCUACUACUUUCCCUUUCGUUCUGCAAUGAAAACCCUAGCUAAAUUCGCCUUGAUCUUGUCUGAAUUUCACUAGUUCAUGCCUAAAUUCAGUAUAGUGGGACUCUGUUCCUGACAAGCACCAGCACCGGCGAGCUCCUGUCAGCUGCAUCAUCGCCUCGUUAUCUCUACUAGACUACGUAGCACUUUUGUCACGGAAGGUGUUCAGGUCCAGGAGGAAGAAAGCGUUCUGUUACUAGGGGGAAAAUGCAGUGGUAGUUCCGUAGCUAGCUAGCUAGAAUAUCUUAGAAUCGAGUUGGAAUUUGGCAGUUUUUCACAUGAUUCAUCUGUGUAUUAGGUCCAUGAUUUUGUACGAAAUUCCAAACCUUAUAUACUAUCGGUUAUUUGGGAAUUUUCGCCUUUUGGUGCUCGGGCUACAAGUUUCAGUGAUUCAAAAGUAUCCACAGUACCAUACGGACGUAUACCUCAUGUGUGCAAAUUUUCAUGAUGAAAUACAUUAGCGAGCUACACAAAAAAGUUCUGAACAGUGUGUACUGUUCACUAUAUAAAAACCAAAGAUUUUCACUUUUUUGUGUAGCUCGUAAAUAAUGUAUUUUCUCAUGAAAUUUUACAGACAUGUCUCUGUAUGUUUGGAAAAAAAAUUCAUAUUUUUUUUAAACUUUAAAAUGUGAUUUUAUGAAACUUUGCACUCAUGGUUUCCUUGUUAACGAAGUUCAUGCUCACAAAACAUACCCCACUCAAGCCUCAAGAUUAAAAACAGCCCGUGUCUAAUACUCCAUCUAAUUUGUCUUGCAUACAUGAUUAACAUGAUUUCAACGACAAUUAUUUUGUGUUUAUUACUCCCUCUGUCGCGUAGUGAUCUAAACGCUCUUAUAUUUCUUUUCGGAGGAAGUACAUGACUAAGCACAAUCUGGCAAAAAAAGGUGUAGCAAAUUUACCAUCCUACAUGACUUCAUCACCAAUAUAUCAUGAGCAUACAGGACUCGAACGACAGGCUAAGCCAGUAGUGAAACUUAUUUUCGUAUUUUGUACCAAGAGAUAUUUUUAACACACUGGAAUUUGCUACUGUACAGAUGAACAUCCAGGUUUAAAUAAAGAUACAAGGUUAUAAUACAGGCAAAGUUAUUGUAUGGGUGAAACAGAAACACGAAGGAAGGGCUUGUAUAAACAGAAUUUGAUCUGGAAAAAGUGAAACAUCUAG